rnacentral:lncRNA from 1 species
AAUCUAUCAAGAUAAAAAAAAAUAUACAAAAUUUAUUUAAAUUUUGGAUUAUUUUAAAUUAUACAUCAAAAUUUUUAAAAUAUUAUUUUACUACUCAAUCUUUAAAUAUUAUUUAAAUUUAUUUAAUUCAAAUCAGUUAAAAAUAUUGUCACCUUAAUAUUCAUAUUUAUAAAAUUAAUAUAAAAUAUAUUAAUUAAAUCUGUAAAAAGAAAUAAAAUAAAGGACACCGCACUGCUGACGACACAGGCUUCGGCCCGUCGUCAGGCAGUCAGAUUACGAGAAAAUCCCCUUCAAAACUCCAAUCAAAGCAAAAUAUAAUCUACGGAAAUGGGCAGCAGACGAAACGGCGGCGGAGAGACUUUAGCGGUCAAAAGUUAUUAUAUGUCCAUAUAUCUAGAUAGAGAAAUUUAGCAUGUUUUUGAACCGGAAGAGUCUUAUAAUUGACCAUAUUAAUUUAUAUCUUAGAAAAUCAUCCAAAAAAUAAAUUUUUUUAAGAAGAACAUAACUACUUACUACCAUCAUUUUGACCGUAUUUUCUAAGCAGAUAGAGAUAUUAAUUUCUACGCUGCUCUGUAUAGAAAAAAGUCCGCCCACAAUAUAAUUAUGCUUUCCAAUAGGCCAAAAAGUCUUUUAUGUAGUAAUAAUAUUAGAUUAGUAUAUACUUUAAAUUAAUUCUAUUGUGAUAUGUGAGAUGGAGAGAGUAUAACUAAAAAUAAUAUGACACUUUUAUAUUGAAGUAAAAUAUAUUUUUAUUACACUUUUAUUCAAUAUAGAGUAUACAUCUGUUUGGCUGCUUGGCUUUUAAAAUGCAUAAAGGAUAGUAAUUAUUAUAAAUUACCAUCCUAAUCAUGACCGAGUCUAUAAAGUGGUUCAAUUCAAUUUUUUAAAUCAGAUAAGUCAAAAAAUUAUUUUAAACAAUUCAAAUCAAAUGUUUAAAUAGGAUAGUAAUUUAUAAUGUUUACUGGUUGAAAUAAUGAUCAUUGAUCCAAUAAUAUUUGUAGGUUAUUAUUUGGUCCGACUUUUAAAACAUUAUUAAAAGAAAUCUUUCACGGAAUAUUGAACUCUUUAUUACGGCAGACGCUGACUGGUUCGUUGGCUCUGGUGCACGAAUGACAUGGUGUACCGGCGUCACAGAGAAUUGUUUUUUCCCCUGAUGUGGGAGGCCCGCCAAAUGAUCCACGUGCACGAAGAUCCGGCCCAUGGCCAGCUGGCGCAGGCCACAUGGACGAUCCCCCAAUGCGCCCCAGGUUUGCUUUUGUACUGUAUUAUCACGGACCAAACCGGGUUGGCUUUUCAGUUAGAACGGCGUCGCACGCGGAGCCAGCCGAUCUGAUCCACCGUCCAACCGCCCAACAAUCGAUCCUGACGGUCCACUCGCUGCACCCCCGUCGGUCCCUACCCUUCUCUCUUUCUCUCUCAUCCUCUCUUCUCUUUUCUCUCUCUCUAAACCCUGAGGAAUUCCACACUGUCACAUUUGCACAAAAUUAUCAAUAACAAAUUAAUUACAUUUUUUAUUUUCAAACAAAAAUAUAAUAAAAAUAUUUUUUUAUAAUCACGAUAAAAUAUAUAUCUCUAAAAAAAAUAUUUAAUUAAUUUAUUACGUCAAGUCACCGAUAUACCUAUUAUUCUAAAAUUUUUUCUAAACCCUUCUCAUUUAUGGUCAUUCCCCGUCCCUGUUUCUCUCUGUCCCCUCACGUUAUUUCUCUCUCCUCUUUCAACUCCUCCCUCUCUUCUUUUUUUUUUUUUUUUUUUCGCUUACCACUUUUUUCCAUCUUUGAUCAGCCGAGCUGGUCUGAAUCAGACACCCUUUCGCAGCUGCUCUUUGAACAUUGACCGCAAGCGCAUUGAACUCCUCGUCUUUGCCUCCUCAAUCCACCAUCCACAGUUGGCGCUCACCAGAGUCAGACCCCGAGGAAAAAAACAGAAAUUAACCACCGGAAAAAAAAAAAAGAAAAAGAAAAAGAAAAGCACACAUCAAAUUUGAAAGGGCUAGCUCCACGUUUCCAGAAGCUCUGCGAGUGUUUUGCGCGCGUAUUUAUACAAGCAACGGGAAGCGGCACGUACCCCAUUCUUGCACCCCAUUCUUAUCCUUAUCACACAAGGAUCGACUAAGGAGAGAGAGAGAGAGAGAGAGAGAGAGAGAGAGGGGGUGGGUGGGGGGAAGCCAGGGGAGGAUAUAAUUUAAAAAAUAUUUGAAAAUGAAGUUAAUGGAGGGAUGUUGGUUUAGUGUGGGUUUGGAGGGGGAGAGCGUACGGCGGGUGAUCGCGGGAUGCGGGCCGUACGUGGUGUGCUUGGUGGGGCUGGUGAUUCUGGCGGAGCAGCUGUCGUACCAUUGGAAGAAGGGGCGGCUGCCGGGGCCGCAGCUGGUGGUGCCGUUCCUGGGCAGCGCGGUGCCGAUGAUCCUCGACCCGACGCGGUUCUGGGCCGAGCAGGCCCGGCGGGCGGAGUCGUCUGGGCAGGGGCUGUCCGCCGACUUCCUGGUGGGCCGCUUCAUCGUGUUCAUCCGCUCCACCGAGCUGUCCCACAAGGUGUUCGCUAACGUCCGCCCCGACGCCUUCCACCUCAUCGGCCACCCCUUCGGCAAGAAGCUCUUCGGCGACCACAACCUCAUCUACAUGUUCGACCAGGCCCACAAGGACCUCCGCCGCCGCAUCGCCCCCAACUUCACCCCCAGGGCCCUCGCCACCUACGCCGCCCUGCAGCAGCGCGUCAUCCUCGCCCACCUCCGCAAAUGGCUUGCCCUCUCCUCCGCCUCCGCCUCCGCCUCCGAGCCCAUCUCCCUCCGCCUCCUCUGCCGCGACAUGAACCUCGAGACCUCGCAGACCGUCUUCGCCGGGCCCUACCUCUCCCGCGAAGCCCGCGAGCGGUUCAACCGCGACUACAACCUCUUCAACGUCGGCCUCAUGGCGCUCCCCUUCGACCUGCCCGGCUCCGCCUUCCGCCGCGCGCGUCUCGCCGUGUCGCGGCUCGUCAAGACGNNNNNNNNNNNNNNNNNNNNGUCAAGACGCUCGCGGGCGCCGCCGCCGCGAGCAAGGCGCGCAUGCGCGCCGGCGCGGAGCCGACCUGCCUCGUCGACUUCUGGAUGCAGAACUCGCUGCGGGAGAUCGCGGAAGCGGAGGCGGAGGCGGAGGCGGCGGAUGCCGAGGAGGUCGGGGGCCACCUGUUCGACUUCCUCUUCGCGGCGCAGGACGCGUCGACGUCGUCGCUGUGCUGGGCCGUGGCGCUGCUCGACGCGCACCCGGAGGUGCUGGCGCGCGUCCGGGACGAGGUGGCGGCGCGGUGGUCGCCCGAGUCCGGCGAGCCGAUCCCCGCCGAGGCGCUCCGGGAGAUGCGGUACACGGAGGCGGUGGCGCGGGAGGUGGUGCGGCUCCGCCCCCCGGCGACGAUGGUGCCGCACAUCGCGGGGGAGCCGUUCCCGCUCACGGAGUGGUACACGGUGCCCAAGGGGGCCAUCGUGUUCCCCAGCGUGUACGAGUCCUCGUUCCAGGGGUUCCCCGACCCGGCCCGGUUCGACCCGGACCGGUUCUCGGACGAGAGGCAGGAGGACCGGGUGUACAAGCGCAACUUCCUGGCAUUCGGCGCCGGGCCCCACCAGUGCGUGGGCCAGCGCUACGCCAUCAACCACCUCGUGCUCUUCAUCGCGCUCUUCGCCUCGCUCCUCGACUUCAAGCGCAACCGAACGGACGGCUGCGAUGACAUCGCCUACGUCCCCACCAUCGUCCCCAAGGACGAUUGCCAGGUGUACCUCUCCCAGCGGUGCGCCCGCUUCCCUUCCUUCUGACCGCGCACACAUGUCUUUUUAUGCCUGGACCCGCCCCACCGCGUCACCCGUGAACCACCUCAUUUUUUCCUCUCACUAUAAAAAACAAAAAGAAAAAUGAACCAUGCAAUAUUAUAUCUAUAUAUUUGUACAAACUACUACUUCUAAGACAUAAAAUCUUUGCACAUUACUCCUACUCAUCCCCAAAAAAAUUAAUUUUCUACUCGUUUCUAUUUUAUUAUUGUUAAAAUUAAAAAAACAUAUAUAAAAAUUAUUAUCACGUACCCAUCUCAUUCUAGUUCUUUUUUCAAACGGAGGUGAUAUUAAUAUUAAUAUAUCCACAUUUAUAAUCGCGUCCCUUUAUUAGGAUUUGUUAGCACCAUCGUAUCUUAUGUAAAUUCAAAAUUAUUUAAAAAAAAAAAAAGGCGAUGUUGAAUUUUAGGAAGAGACGGUUCAAAGAGUCGGUGGCUGUGUGGUCCACCAGGGCUGACAUUGUAGACUUUCUCCAGGCAAAUAGUUUCUCAGCCUUUGUCGGGGCGUUCAUUCUAUUUACUCGUGUGGUCGCUUUCUUUCCCUUUAUUAGUGUCCUUUUUUUAUUUAAAAAAAAGAAUUUCUUUUCCAUUUAUUUAUUUCUUGGGGGAGAAAACAAAAUUGGUACGGCAGAGGUGUUUUGUUGGGAGGACGCGUGAUCAUUCAACGUGCUCGAAAUGCGUACACGUGGACAAAGAAAAGGCGCUCUCGCUCCCUGUUGGUGGUGCUUGUUUUGGUUUGUCUCUUUUAGUAGUUGGAAAUUUCAUUAUCAUCUACUUUGUAAAUGUUUGUUUGCCACGGUGGAUAUGGAUUUGAUGUUUUUUUUUUUAUUAUUUUUUUUUUAGAGAUAGAUAGCACACUAUUUGUUCCGUUUAUUCCAUUUAAAAAUAAACUUAGUUGAAAAUAUGAAUCAACUAGAAUUCGAACUUGGAAUCUUGAAUAUCAACAAUCAAGUUCUUUGCCACUUGCUCUAGGAACGGUCGGUGUAUGGAUUUGAUGUUGGAUGCGAUGAAUGUUCGCUCUUCAGUAGUUAGCCAAAUCUUCGGACAAAAAUUUCUGUCACUAGAUAGUGUUUGAAUUGAUUGGAUUGGACUUCAUUUAUUAUUGACUAGGAUGGUCUAGGGCUAAUCCUAAAAAAUAUUAAAAAUAAUGCUUUUAAUACACUCCAAAAUAAAACUACAUACUAUACCUUUUUUCAUAUAAAGAUCAGUAUUUUAUUGGGCAAACUUCAAAAAACCAUCUAUAUGGUUUGGCAUUUUGUCAUAUUAGUACCAUAUAUUUAAACUAUAUUAAUUUAGCACGAUGUGGUUUCGUUUUUUCUUUUUUCGUCAGCUCAUUUGUUAAGGAGUUGUGACCGUUCAUAUAUAGUUUUUUUUUAAAAAAAAAUAGUAUAGUUUUUUUUUUAAAAAAAAAGAUAGUAUAUUAUCCGCUUUGUUUAUUUAAUUUAGAAAUAAUUUAGCUAAAAAUAUAAAUCAAUUAGAAUUUAAACUUUGGUCUCGAAUAUCAAUCAUUAAAUUUUUUUACAAGCUUGCGUUAGGGACGGUCGGUUACCGUUCAUAUAUAGUUUGUGUGGUAGUUUUAAUUUGUAGUUUGAUUUGAUGGUGCUCCUGGAAAAAGUGCUGGGCCACAUUAGCUGUACUUUAUUUUUAUCCUACAACUUUAUUAAGUUGCAGAACAGGAGAGAGAAGCAGCUUGAAGCAAAAGCACGCGACCCAAUCAAUAAUUACUGCUAAGAAUAUCAAUCAUGUGAUGAGUUGGCACUCGAUACUCAUGGCAUCACCAAACUUAGUUAUAUAUAAAUAUAGGGACGAAAAAUUCUAUAGAUCAAUUUGGAUUGGAUUGGAUUGGAUUAGAAACCAAUACAAAAAUGCACCCUUUUACUUACUGUAUGCAUAGAAUAUAUUUUAUUUAGAAGUGUAUAUACUGUUUUUGAGAAAGAGAUAGCAAGCUAUUUGUUUUAUUCAUUAAGCGGAACGAACUAAGCUUAUAUGUUGAAAAUAGCUAAGGCCCCCUAUAAUUGGUAGGAAAAAGAAACCAAAGAAACUGAACAAGAGAAACCAAAAAUAACCAUUAAAUGGCGAUACGAAAAACGGUAUAUAGAGGGAUAGAAAUCGUCCAGAUUCACGUAACUUCAGUCUAAUCCUUCGUUAAAGACCCGACUCGAUUCGAUGCCCGGCUUGCGUUGCAAGGCAUCCCACGGAAAAUAUUAUUAUUGCGUUCUGUCUAGAUGACCCACCAGAUUGCCGCCAAACAGGUUAGACUCUUGGAUCUCGUCGCGACAUUGGGGAUGCUAGAUGUCUCUAUCCAUACCCGCCGUACAUCCCUCCCGUCCGGUUCGCUUGCAUCAGUGCCUACCUCGCAAAGUAUAAGAUAUCUGGCAAAUACACAAGCACAGAAAAAGUGGCCACAGCUUUCUGGGAACACCACACAAUAAAUGCACUGUUAGUCUACAUGGCACCCUCGACUUAUCAAUCUAUCUGUUGUAAGUAAUCUCUUGCGAAGCAAGAUAUAUCCAGAUAAAAAUUUUAAUUUUGGCCGGCAAUUUUAAACCCCAAAGGUGAUCGUACAUAGAAACCCUCUACCCUCCAUCGGUUAUAAAAUCGUAUAGCGAUUUCACCGUAAAAAUUUGGUUGGAGGUCCAUUGCCAUUUAAGAAUAUCCGUUGAGUCAGUUGGGGGUAUACUGAGAUAGUCAAUUUUUGAGCAGCAAAAAUUGUUGACGUCUACGAGUGGCGUUGACAGUCCCAACCCCUCUGGCAAUGAACCGCCAUCUCCACCCCUUUUCAUUCCAACAUUGUGAGACUGUUACCUCGUCAUUCGUUAAUCUGCAGAAGAGACUUGGAAACCGAGUACUCAGAGGGAUUUCUCCGGUCCAUAUGUCAGUCCACAAUCUAAUGUUUUUCCCAUCACUCAGCACGUACGAAACUCCACAUUUAAACACUUCUCGACAUCUCAUCACACUUCUCCACCGCUGAGAGAGAGGUCUGAACACUCUACCCUCGUGUGACGGCCUUCUUCUGGUGUAUAUACUAUUUGUUCCUUUCUUAUCUUUUCCUAAUUCUCAAAAUUAUACUGCCCAUAAGGGGCCUAUAUCCAUAACUUAAUACUAUUCUGUUACAAACGAAGCUCGAAGCUCAGUUUUAAACCCUGGAAUAAGAUGGAAGCGCUAAUCUUUUAAAAGAUGAUUUAAUGGGUAACAUGCACGCCAUCUUGAUAGAUCCGAAAAUCGACACCUUUCGUAAGAAAAUGCGUGUGUCAUUUUCUCAGAGAGCUGAUCACUAAUAAACCAGAUGUGAUUUCCGAACAAUUCUGUACGUUUAGAAACCUUGCUCAUGGAGCUUGACGCAAUGAUCACCCUACCUAACUUUGAUCUGCAUUCUAUCCUAUCUUGCGUUACUGUGAAAAUACGUAAUUAUGAUUGCCAUAGCUUGAAAAUAAGAUUUUACUAUUGGAAAAGCCCUAAGUUGAGCUCUCCAAUAGGUUUUUUUUUUUUUUUGAGAGAGAGAAAGGUAGUAUGUUACUCGCUUCAUUUAUUUUUUUUUAUAAACAAACCUAGCUGGAAAUGUGAAUCAACUAAGAUUCAAAUUUGGAACUUUAGAUAUCAAUUAUCAAAUCCUUUGCCACUUACGAUAGGAACGGUCAGUCAGUUGUCCAAUAGUUAAUUAGCCCUUCUACAAGAAAUCCAUUUGAAGGUUUUUCUUUGUAGCACAUGCAAAAAUAGUGAAUCGCUUUAGAGUUUAUGCUUUGGAAGCUAACCACAGCUUUUCGUCGCAGCAAAAUCUCUAAAUUUUCUUCCUUUGCUACAACUAAUUAAUUGUUGUUUGUGAAUUCUUCUCAGGGGUUAGAAUGCCUUGUCAUUUGUCAACAGAUUAAAUAAGAUAGAGUUUAGGAUUACCCUGGACGGCAAGUAACUGGAUGUUCAUUAAGUAAAACUUAUGUGGACCAUAAAAUAUUAUCAAAUAUAUUUUUUGAUAAAUCAACAUUAAACAUGUGGCAGUUAUUGAUUCGUUUAGCUUUUACGAUUGAAUCUAAUCAAUUACUGUCUAAAUCUAUCAUUUCAAAAGAAGCACCAUAUGAUGUGAAGGAUAUUAUAACUAAUAUUGAAUAAAUUCGAUUUUGAACAGAUCAUCCGACUCCUUAAUUUGAAUUUAUUCCUACAAUUAAGUCGAUCAUUUGUACCUACUCCAGAAAAACUAUAUAUCAAGUUCAAUAAUCAAGUAAAGUGCAAUAUAUACAUUAAAGAAAUCCUCUCGAGUGGCUUUACAUAUGAUCUGUUUAAGUUACGUAGCAAUACUUACGUUGGAUUUUACUUUAAAAGAUGGAAAUUAAUAGCUUUUCGAGAUCAUUAAUUAGAUACAAGCAUUUUCGGACAUUAUCAGACACAAAAAAGAGUACAUAUAUACGACACAUUUUUGGCUUCAUCUACAAGUCGCCCUUUAAAUAGUUUUAAUAGUUUCUUCUGGAGAAGUACGCAAUAUUCGAGGAUCUGAAUCAUUAAUUGCAUACAGCUAUAUGUCUUUACUUCAUAAUGGGAAAUAAUUAAGGAAAUGUAAAAUUAGUCUUUUUUUUAGAUGUGAUAAAACUAUUAUACAGUAUGUACCUACCUACAGGCUACAUAGACACUAAUAACAUUUCUUGUUAAUAAUAAAAAAAUAAUAACUCAAAUUAAUCUAGGUGCAUGUUUAGAUAGAAGCUUGCUUGGUAUUGUACAUAACUAUUGAAAAUAUUUUUGUCUAAUUGCUUAAAUUUUUAUAGACAAAAGGUUAUUUUAUCACAUAGUCUCAGAAUAAAAGAUCCUAUUUGAAUUUCACUAAGCAACUAGUCUAAUUUAAUUUUUUCUCAUUUUAUUCAAGUCCAGGUCUUGUAUUUUAGUAUUUUUCAAAAAUUCACGAGUCCAAGCUUGAGGAGUGUGUUACAUAUAAAUAUUAAUUAAAAAUGUUGUUAUUUGGUAACUUAAGUUUUUGAAAAAUAACGAUUGCACCAUAUUAUUUAUUUACAGUCUAAUUCCUCAAAAUAAUAGGCUAAUUCAAAGGUAAAUACUAGGCUACAUCUACUUUGAGGAUCUGAUAAUGACGUACCCUCAUAAUUAAUUGAGCAAGGAACUAAUAAGGUAGUGAGACUCCAAAAGCAAUGUGGAUAACAUUGGGUGUUGUGAUAUUUCUGUGAAACGUGGGGUAAGUGAAAAGAAAACUUAGGUCAUAUAAAUUAAUUUUCUAAUGAAAACAACUUUGAUUGUAACGAAAUAUAGUAGCAUUUGUAUGCAUGGUCUCUUUAGCGUACAUGACAAGCCAUUAUUAUUCAAAUUUUUUUUUAAAAAAAAAACUUUUACUAUAUGCAGCUGUGUAAAAAUCAUUAGCCCGAGAUGGAUGAUCCACGGUGGAUCGAUCAAAAGUAUAAAUGUUAAUUAUAUCAAAUUGUCAGUUCACACAUCAAUUAUAUAUGCAUCUUUAAAAUAGCAUCAAUUUCUUUUUAGUUUUCUAAAAUGAAACAUUUUUUCUCCAAUUUAUUGGCAAAUGUGGGUGAAUUAAUUGUGAAUAGGUUGGACACUGUCUAGCUAAUUGUUGGAAGCAUAUACUCACUUCUUUUUCUUUUUUUUUUAAAGAGAUAGGUAGCACACUAUCCGCUUCAUUUAUUUUAUUUAGAAAUAAACUUAGCUAGAAAUGUGAAUCAAUUAGGAUUCAAAUUUGGGACAUCGGGUAUAUACUCAUUUUUGAUGUACUUGACUUUAUGUAACUUUAUAUAUAAAGUUUAAAGUCCGUGAAAUAUUAAUCAAUUGGAAUAGUAACAAUAUGCAAAAGCAGUUUUUAAAGGAUCUACCUGUAUGUGCUGAAAAAAAAGGAAAUAAAAGAAAGCAUAUUAAAAUCAAUAGCAAAAAAAUUACAAAGAGGAUGUCGUUGAUCCGUCUUCUGCUUCUAUGUGCACAACUUGCAAUAUAUAAUACAUAUGUGGCCGUUGGGAAAGAAGAAGCCUAUGUUAAAAUUCUGCAACCAGAUUCUAAUACGGAUUUUACUACAUCGAAAGAGAAUUCUUACAGCAGAUAAACUACACCAACAUGGCUGGCUAGGGAAGCAACAUUGCGUUUUCUACACCAUCGGCAUAGAAAACUGCAAUCACCUUUUUUGUAAUUGCGUGAAUGUACAAUACUUAUCUCUUUGUGCGGAAAGAUUAAUUAGAAGUACUCGCUGAGCCCUCGGAGGAGACCCGAUGACUAUGGAGAAGGAUAAUUAGUUUCGAGGACGUUGGAAAGAAAUUCAAAGAAUUAAUCAUAUUGUCAGCUAUUUAGUGAGUUGGUUGGACUGAGAGGAACAAUAUAAUCCUUCAGAGUGAAAUCUAUCACUCCUUCUUAGGCGUUUGAACGUGUCAGACUCCUAAUGAUAGCGUGGAAAUAACUCUGCUGAUUUUUAGAUUAGCUGCCUCCCCCCGCCCCCCAGCCUUAUUUAUAUAGUUUGAUUUGUCUAUCUGUUCUUUAUUUUUUGGAGGCUUUGGUUGCUUCCAUCUCGAUUGCUAAAUUCAUCACGCCUAAUGAAUGAAGUUGGUAGCUACUACCUUCUUCUCGGAAAAAAAAAAAAAAAAAAAAAAAAAAAAAGGAUUCUAACAUGUAAAAAAAAGUACUCUUGAUAUAUAUAAAUAUAUAUCAUGUUCUUGUUUAUAUUCAAUAUAAAUAUUUAUCAUGUUCUUGUUUAUAUCCAAUGUGGGGACUAGUAUACAUGACAGCUAAAACCUAGCAAGUAAAAGAGUAGCAAUGCUAAUUUUACAAUUCAUGACAUUUUGGGCCUUUUAUGUAAGCAACAUCUACACAGAAGCCCAUUAUCAAUUGCUUGUUUACAACUUUAUCAGUAGUGGCAAAAGCCCGGCCCACCCAAACUGAGGUCUAAAAGUUGAAUUAAUUUGUGGUUGCCACUCACUUGCAAGCGUAGAUCCUCGAAGUCUCGUCCGAUUGCAGGAAAACACGGAUUAGUUACAGUAAAAAAAUGCAAUAAAAAUAUAUGCUACUUGUUUCCAUAAAAAUAUCAGAGUGUAGAUUGUAUAAUUCAUUUACCAUAUAAUUUCUGCAGCUCCAUCUGAAAAUACUAAAGUAUAUAGUUAUGCAUAUAUUUUUGCCUAACUUUUUUAUACGCAAUAGUAUUAGAUAGCUCUUCAUACCAAACGGCCGUAAGAAUCACAUGCAAACUUUUUUAUUUGAAUUUUUUUACGGUGUUAAUUGGAUAUACGUAUAAUAUCAGUAAAAACUAUACUUCAUGUUAUCUUCUUCGUAUCGAUCUCAUUGCAGCCCGGUAUAUAUGAACAUAUUCAUGUGCCUGUACUUAAAUAUUUGAAAGGUUAUACAGUUUAUGGCCACAUUCUAUGUAGGAAGUUUGCUUUUGGCCAAAUUUAUCUUAAAACCGCAUAAAUUUAAAUUAGGACACUUCAAAAAGUAUGAACUAAAAUUUUGAAAUAAACCGUCGAAUUUGUUUAUUGGACUAAGAUUACAACAGCAAGCAAAAGUUUGAAACAGAACUUAAAAAAGUUAAAUGCUUCGGAACUGUUCAUUUAUCUUUAUUUGAAUGAGACAAAAAAUGCAGUGUGAAAAUUAAAACUAGACAUGGUGUUUACUGGUUACUUUAAUGAAUUUACUAGUUCAUAAAUAAAACUAUUGCAUGCUUGUUUAAGUUAUAUGUAGCCGUAUCAUCUCCUGUACUUGCAACUCUGUUCACUUUGCAGUAUGGUUGCUCUUACAUGAAUCAGUUAAUUACUAAACUGUAUUCUUUGCUAAGUUUUUAUUUCCCUAAACAUAUAACCACCAUGCAUAUAUAUGAAUCAAUUUAAUAUUCCUUGUUGAUACUGACCGUCCCUAGAGCAAGUGGCAAAGGGCUUGGUGGUUGGUAUCCGAGACCCAAGUUCGAAUCCUAGUUGAUUCACGUUUCUAGCUAAAUUUAUUUCUAAAUGAAAUAAACGAAGUGGGUAGCGUGCUACCUAUCUCUCAAAAAAAAGGAAAAAAAAAUCCUUGUUGAUGCCUAAGCAAACGACCACCAUGCAUGUGCUUGCACUUGUUUAUCCCCAGUUUGACCACAAAAAUUAUUACAAAAACCAUAUUGACACAUCUCGUGGAAGGUUCGCGAUGUUGUCAUAGAAUCUAGUUUGAUUCUCAAUCUUUAAUUUAUCAUAAUUAAUUAGGACCCUAGCCUUCAGUUGUUGUCGCAAUGUUAGUUCUUUCCUCUCAAUUUCUCUUUAGAAAUAGAUCUGAGCGAAAAUCUAUAGAAAUUGCCCAUAAGUUUUGGAGUAGUAGGCAUUGGUAUGUUAUAUGUAUUGAAAUUGCCCAUAAGUUGUUGUCACAAUAUUAGUUCUUUCCUCUCAAUUUCUCUCUCUCUUUCUCUCUCUUUUUUUUUGGGUGAAAGGAAUAUGGAAUCCUAUUCAUUUAUUUAUGUUGUAAAUAUUAUAUUUUUUUGAUGUUGGGUUGGCUUGCAUGUGGAACUUCACUAAGUUCCACCACUAGCUAAUUAACAAUCCCCCAUACGUGCUUCUACUCUUUUUUUUUGUUUUUUUAAAAAAUCAUUUAAUUAAUCACACGCAAGCUCAAUUAUUGAAGCAAAACAUAUGAUUCAAACCAAUAAAGAUGCAAUCUAAGACAUGUAAUUUACAAUUCUAUUGCAUGUUUAGUGGCGAAAUGAGCUCGUGCUGUUUCCUUGCCUCCAAUACAAGAGACCACUUGAUCUACAAUAUAUAUAUCUUGUUCUCCGUCUAAGGAAUCAAUUUCCUGUCAGGUGUCCUUAUUAACAGGCUUUAAUUUAUUUUACUUUUCUUAAUCUUUCCUAAUCUGUAAGCUAAAGAAAUCUUUUUCUUUUUUUCUUUUCUUUUUUUUUUUGCCGGAUGAGUUUGAAACUAGGUUAAUUAAUAAUUAUUCUGGGGCAAUCAAAUGUAGAAUUUCUUAUUCUGACUACUGAAUUAGGGUCUAUGUGUAUAUGUAUAAUUCUUUGGUGUUGUUUGAUAAGGUAUUAUUAAAAAUGUACUAGUGCUGGCAUAAUUAAGUUCUGUAUCAAAAUCUUUUGAAAAGAUUUUUUCUUUUUUUUGAAGCAAAUUCAGGGCUCUAAAUAAUAACUUGGAACUUUUUUGUUUCUGGGUUUCAAAUAUAUUAUUUACUGGAACUGUUCCCACAAAAGGUCCAAACUUUUCAUCAAACGAUGAUUGUAUAAUAGAACGAAAUGUCAUCUCACGAAACACAAGGGGAAAGUGGUUGUCUCGAUACAACCAAGCAUGCAAGGUGAUCCAAUAUAAAGUGCACCAUGCACAGUUUUUAUCUGAAAACGAAAAAGGAAAAGUACAUCACAGUUGUAGACUCAUACGUGCAUGGGUUCCCACUCACACAGGUGGAGCUAGGAUCUAGAGGAGAAGUGGAAAUUUUGAGCGAAUCAAAGACGGUAACGUACGAGUAUGAGUUUACUAUUAAGGAAAAAAAAAAAAAAAGCAAGAACCCAAAGAAUUUUCCUUUCAUACGUUAAAGUCUAAAUAACAUUCACACGGUAUAUGUAAGAAAUCAUAUAGAUUUGUCAACACGACGAGAAUACAUAAGAUACCUUCAUGAGGGUUCAUUUUCCCUCAUAGAGAAAGAGAAUUGAUUAAGCAAAAUUAAAUAAUGAAACUCUUCAAAUGGCAUUCUCCUAUGAAUUUAGAAGGAUUAGGAAUAUUAGAUGCAGUUAGAAUUGUAUGAAAAGUCAACAUGCAAAGCCAUUGUUCUAUUUCUCCAGGUGUGAAAAGUCCCAUUUGCUUUAGUUGUGCAUCAGCAUCUAGCAUUUUUGAUGGUCAUUAAGGUGCCGUACGUUGGACAAAGCGAAUAUUACCUAACUCUCGCACAAAUAUUAAAGCUGAAUUAUUCCACAUAGAAUAAAUAAUUUGGCUGGAGAAAGUAAUUUAAUCCCUCUAUAUUUUGCACAUAAAACAAACCAAAAAUUUGAAAUUAGCUUUUCCAUCAACGUUUCAAUUCGGUGGCUGCAUAUAUAGGAGAUUUAAUAAAUUUUAUAAGAAAAACUUCAAAUACCAUUCCCGUGGUUUUGUAUUUUUUUACUUUAGUACCAUAUAGUUUAAAGUGUAUCGCUUUUGUACCUUAUGAUUUUAUUUUUUUUCUUUUUGUUGUCCCCUUCGCUAAUUUUUUUCGUUAAAUCAGUGACAAUAUAAAACUUAAAGGUACUAAAGUGAAUAUUUAAUAAACUAUAGGUGAGGUAUCUGAAAUUUUUUGUAUAUAAUUUAACGAAAAGUUAACGGAGAGACCGGAGUAAAGAAAAAAAAUUAAACCACAAGAUAGUAAAUUGAUACACUUUAAACCACCAGAUACUAAAGUGAGAAAAUUCGAAACCACAGGAGUGGUAAUUGAUGUUUAUCCAAUUUUAUAUGAUAGUGUCAAAUAAUUAGUACCAUAAAAACUUUAACAGCUAGAAAAUAAUAAUUUAAUUUUUUUUUAAUUUUAGAAAAAGACAUUUAUCGUUUUUAAUGAAUAAAGUAUUGGUAGCUCAAACCUUUCAUGAUGAGGGACAGUAUUUAAUUAAUUACUUACACUUGUUGUGAUCCUUAUCCUCAUGGGUUCUUGGUUUUAUAUGUAAACGUUUUUCAAUUGGGGCCUAAGCAAUCCUCUUAAUUGUCAAUAUCAGAAAAUUACUUGAUGUUUUUUUUAUUUUUCUUUUCUCUUAAAGGAUCUAUUUGUUUUAGCUUUGUGACCCGAAAUUAGAAUACUUACUAGAGUAGAAAGCAACUAUAUGUUUUGGGUUCCAAAUGUACAAAUUAACUUCAUUUUGAGUAUUGUCCUUAUACUAGAGAGCGAAAAAUGAUUUAUGAUGAUUUUAGUAUAGUAAUUCUUCUAGUUAUAAUAUUUUUUGCGACAAUAAUUUAUCAAAUAACACUAUAUUUUGUAACAGUCUAAAUAGUUGAAUCCAAAUAUGCCCUAGCUAGCUAAAGAUGUUAAUUAUUGGUUGUGCAAUAAAACAUAUUGUAAUCCGAAACUUCCCCUUUGCAAGGUAUAUACGUCGGCUGCGGUUAUCUGACCCAAAGAUGUCGCCUUCAACUGUAGUCAUUUUCAAUACAAAUAGAAAAGUUUGUAAUUUUUAUAUCAGUAAAUUUUAAUUUAAAAUUUCUACGUCUAUAAUUGAGAAAAAUCGUUCGAAAUAUAUAUAUAUUAUUGUUUUUCAAAAACUAAAGUUAUAUGAGACCAGUCUCAAACCAAAGCAGUUUGAGACUGGAAUAUCUACCGCACUAGCCGACUUAGAUGACUCGUGAGCGACAAUCGUGGAUGAAGAUGCAGUUCUAGACGAAUAUUCGAUUUACUCGAGAUGUAUAAUUAGUCACGUACGUAUAUAUACGACAUAAGUUUCAGUCUCAGACUGCUCUAGUUUUAGAUUGACCUCAUAACUUUUGUCCAGCACUGCACCCUAGAAAAAAGAAUAAUAUAAAUGCUAUUUAUACACCUACUGAAAAAAGUGAAUAUAAAUUUUAUGUCUUAUAUAUUAUCCAAGAAUUCAGACGUUUCCUUUUAGGGCUUGUUUGGUUCAAAACUGGAAUUAGAAUGGAUAAUGGAAUGGUAAUUAGAAUGGCCCACUCCCCCAAAAUAUUUGGUUUAUUUGUGGAUUGGAAAUUAGAAUGAGUUAUUCACAUUUCAAUGAUUGGUUCGUAUAAACUAAAAAAAUUAUAUAAUACUAUAAUACUAAUUUUACUCUCAAAUAUAAAUUUAUAUUAUUUAAAAUUUAUGAAAAAUAUAAUACUAUUUUCUAAUAAGUUUUCCAAAAAAAAUAUCAAAUUUCUUUUUAAAAACUUUUAUUGAUGUACGUUAGGGAUAGGGUUUUGAGAGAGAAUAGGUUUUUUUGAUAGGUAGUUUUUUUUUUUUUUGAUGAUAAAGGGGUGAAGAGAAGGAGGGUGAGAUGGUCACAUAGAUUUCGAGAACUUAGUGGGCUUCCGGAAUGGAAUCUCAAUCCGGACUAGAAGACCGGAAUCAAGUUGAAGGCUAAUGUGUCAUUCCCAUUCCAGUCCAGAAUAGAAAUCCCAAACCGAUUCAUGCGAACCAAACAAAAUUAACCGGAUUUGAUCAAAUCGAUUCCCAUUCCAUAUCCAAAAUGGAUGAACCAAACAAGCCCUUAAAGUAUAAGUACUAAAAGAAUUAAAGUGAUAAUACUAGCAUGCAGAAAUUAACUUUUAGAUGGAUAAUAUGUUAAAUGUAACUCGCUUUUGAAUGUACAAAUAGGGUUGCAAUUGGGGGACAACAGGAUGGGAUGAUGCAUGUGGGGGCACUUCGGAUGGUGCCGAUACCAAUCCCACAGGAUCCGCACCCACUAAAAUAUUAUAAGAUAAGAUCACAAAGCGGGGAUUUAACUCGAAGUGGACAGGAUCCAAAUCAAACCCCACCCACCAUCCAACAUCACCAUGUGCGCCACGUCCACCCAAAAACUUAUUAUUAAAAGUUAAAAAAGAAAAGGAAAAAGAAAAAAGUGUCUGAGGGACUCCCUCAACACAAUAAAGACAUUGUUUGAUAUAGAAUUUAUUUUUUAUGUUUUUAAAUAAAUUUUUAUAUAUUAAAAAAUAUAUAUAUAGGAAUAGGCAGUGAAUUAGUUUUUUUUUUUUAAUAUAAUGUCUUUACUUGAGAACAAAAAAAUAAAAAUUUGAAAAUCACUUUUCUCUAUUUUUGAAAAAAAAUUAAAUGAAUUGUCAUCUAUUAUUUAGUGAGUUACAUUGCAAACUAACCAAUUAUAACAAUAUAGAAAAAAAGUUUCUCCAACGCAUCAAAUUAUAUAGGAUAGUGUUAAAAAAGUGAAAAAGAGCGGCCAUCGAAUCCUAACAUAAUUAUUAUUACCUGUAAUAACUCAAAAUUUUAAAAUUAAAAAAUUAAAAAUUUCUGAGCUUAUUUCAAAAUGGUAGUAAUUCAUACAUUUUCACCCAAUUUUUUUUUAAAAAAAAUCUUUUAAUUGGCCUCUAUCAUCGUCGGUGACAACAUGGCCAACCACACAAACCAAAUCCUUAUCGAGACCAAUCCAGUGAUCCAAUUCCCCAUCCUCCUAUCACCAUCCAAUUUCCAAUCUCCCAUUUAAAACCCCCCAAUUUCCCACCACGUUUUCACAACCUGUACCUAUCUAUAUCAAUUAUUAGGGGGGCGGCACAAUUGAGAGAUCCUCUAACGCAAUGAUAGGGGGAAAUUUUGCAUCUUGGUCCUCAAUCUUUUCGCCCUAUUUUGAUUCCAGCCUAAGCGCACAGCUCAGAAGUCAAAAUUGACGCAAUUGAGCUUUUGAAUAACGACGAUUCUUUUAUGUUAUUUUAAUUGUAAACGGUCAUUUUAUGAACAUCUCGAUCUAUUUUUUUUAUCGAAGAAAUUGGAUGACAGAGGUUAUAAUUGCAACUAAGUAUGAAAGUUCCCUAUUCAAAUUAAAAAAUUUAAAGGUUGAGAACCCUAUGUACACCUAACGGUCCUAACCUAACCCCAAGAAUUAGAUCCAAUGACAAGUAUGCAAACCUACUUCUUACACUCCAAUGGAAUAUAUCCACAUUUUUUAAUAUACAUGUCAAAUCAAAUGGGUCUAUAAUUGAUUAAAAUAGUGGUUUGGAGACUCUCUCCUGCGACCUAUAGAUUUUACUUAUCCAGGAUUUUGAUUGAUCGAUUUAAUUAACAAACAUAUUUUCAAAGUUGAACAUUAAUAGCGCUCAUUAAUUACAUUUAUCUCCCUCAUAAUGGGGCUAGAAAACUAAUCCGUUUCUCCCGCAGCUUGCCACUUCCUUUUUGGAACUUCUCCUAACUCAUCUGAUGCUACAAAAGGUAUGAUUUGGAUAGCCAUUAUGCGAUCUCCAAAGCACUAUUAAUUAAUGCGCAUCAGCGUUAUCUUAAACUAUACGUAUAACUUAGUGAGCACAGAAAAUAAUAAUUACAAUUAUAUCAGAGUUCUUUGGAUAAUCUAGCCAUCUCUAGCAACACAAAUUUUGUUCUGUAUAUAAAAGCAAUAUUUUUAAUUCGCAAAACGCAUGCAACACAAAAAUAUCUUACGAUAUUUAUAUAAAAGCAAUAUAUUUAAAAAUUAGAGCAUUUUCUGAGGAGCCAAUUUUCUACAGUUUUGUGUGGAGAAUUUUUGGAGUAGGAGAUAGUUCUGUAUAUCAUCCGGCUGAGAUCGAUGGAAAAAAUCAAAGUUAUCAGAUGGCCGACUGAUUCAAAGGCUGAUACUCCUUCAGACUAAUAUCAUCGCUCAAUUAUUAGAAAAAAACAAUUCAGAUGUAUACCCAACCGUUCCAUGAGUGGGAUUAUUUUACCAGUCACGUCAUGUAAUAAGCGAGAAGUUCUGACCUAUUAAAUGGAUGGAAUUUAGGAUGGCAAUUCAAGCUUGUUGUUCGCGAGCCAACUCGUAUUUGAUUUGAAAUGAGAUCGAGAUCGAAUCACUAGUUUAGUAAACGAGCUGAACACGAGCUGAAUUUUUAACUCAUUUAAUAAACAAGCCGAAUAUGAACUAAAGUCAGCUUGCUCGUAUUCGGCUCGAUAGCAGCUCGAAUAUAUAUAUAUAUUAUUUAAUUUUUAGUUCGAUCUAAAUGUAAAAUCAAACUUAAUUAUUAAAAUGCUUAUUUAUAUGUAAAGUCUCAAUAAUUACAUCAAAAUCUAAUAGAUAAAUUUUAAAAAUUUAUUUUUUUUAUAUAUCAUUUUUAAUUAUUUUAAUUUAUUGUCCGUGAGCCAGCUCAUAUUCGGCUCGAUACCUUAACAAGCCAGCUCAUGUUCUGUUCACUUAUAAAACCAAUCGAACACAAGUCGACCCCAGCUGGCUCGUGUUUCGCUCUCAGACACUCCUAGAUGGAACGUAUAUCAUACAAUUCUUUUAUGAUGUACGAAUGAAUUGUAGAUCAUUCCCCUCUCUGGAAUCUACUAAUUAAGUGUAAAAAAGCUAAGACAAAUGCAGAAAAUAUGUCCUCUAGUGAUCCCCACAAUGCAAAUAUUAGAUAGAAUCGACUGUUGCUAGAUUCUUCCUGCUCGCUGUUUCCUUGUCUUUAAAGUAUACACUCCUUUCGUCUGCUUAUCUGGAAAGUACGGUCCUAAGUUCGCCAACCCACCCUCCCUACGUGUGGGUCCCACAACCCCCCAAGGCCCCACUUCUCCUUUUCCAAAACUUAUUUCCUUCAUUAAUUGCAUCAGUAGCGACUUUUACGGACUCCUAUAGGUGCACGUGUCCGCAUGCGACUGUUUCCCCUCCUCCUCUCUCUCUCUCUCUCGCUCUCUAUAUAUAAAUAAUAACCUAAUCGAAUCCUUAAUUUCACGGUUCAACCCAUUCGUUUGCUUUAGGAACAAAGAUAAAUAUAUAUCAUGGCAUCCACGGCUGUAGAGAGCGUGGACCGCGCCAUGCAAGAGUACUGCGUCGUCGACCUCGAGCGAAUCGACGUGCCGGAGAUCGACGGCGCGCUUCUGAUGGAACUGCUGGAGGACUCGUGCGCCGACGCCGACGACGACGCCGAGGACGACCGGCUCGGCGGCGUCAUCCGGUCGCUGGAAGCGGAGAUCGGGUCGAAUUCCGGAUCGAUGGAGAUCGGCGACGACGAGUCGACGACCGGCCCGGCCGACGGCGGAUUGGAGGCCGUGCUAUCGGAUUUCGACAGCUUCGACGGGCUGAGAGACGCAGGUUACGCUGUCGACGAGGAUCCAUUUGGUUGGGCGGAGAUGGAGGUGGGGACGAGCGCGGCGAUGGGCGGGUGGUAUGUGGGUGUAGAGGAGGGGGAGGGUGGGGUGGUGGAGUAUGAGGAGGAGGGGAGAGAGUUUGAUUAUGGUUAUGGUUAUGGUUAUGGAGUGGUUUACUAUGGGGAGGGGAUGGUGGAGCAAACGUAUAGCCCUUUGUGGGGAUAAUCACGUAUACAGUUAAUUUGGAAGGGUUUUUUUUUUUUUUUUCAGCUAGCUAAUUAAUUAACUGGCUCGCCAAUUGUUUAAUUUUGUGAAUUAAUAAUUUUUUCACAAAAUAAAGGCGAAUUUACUCGAUAUAGGAGAUUGUUUCUGGCCCAUUUAAUUAGCUAUGCUUAUAAAAGGAAGAGAUUGAAUAAAAAUUUUUUCUUUUUUAAAAAAAGGAAAAAUGCCUAAGACGCUAACGGGCAAAGGUAAUUCUUGCUUAUUAAUUUGCAUAUCGAAAUAAGCACUGAAAUUCGUGCUAUGCUUACAAUCUCUCGUUGAGCUUUGAUUAAUUCUAAUUAAUUUACUGAUUAAUUUUAACUAAUUUUAUUGGCGCCCACUUCUUUACUCUAUUUUUUUUUUGAGAGAGAUAGGUAGCACGCUACCUGUUUCGUUUAUUUCAUUUAGAAAUAAACUUAGCUGAAAAUGUGAAUCAACUGAAAUUCGAACUUGGAUCUCGGAUACCAACCACCAAGCCCUUUGCCACUUGCUCUAGGGACGGUUGAUUCUUUACUUUAAUUAACAUACAAUUAUAUAUAUUAGAUGUGUCUCCCAUUUUUUGAGCCNUAUUCGUAUUACUACUUGUAGAGGGUCUCUGCAACAUUCCCCUCACGGGCGAUGACGAACUUGCUCUUGGUCCGCUCCGUGAGAAAGGGACUCAUCAUCGAAUACAGCAUGCUAAAAUACCAGGGCACGUUUAUAAACACCUGCACCCACGCCACACAAACCACCCACAAUUAAUUAAUACUCACCAGUCACCACCACUACAAAUAGAAACUUAGUUUUUUUAGUAAAACUGAAAAUAUUGCAAGAUUGAACACAGAAUUCAUUAAAAUUUAACUAACAGCUUUAACCACUACCCAGUAAAUAAAACUACAUAUUUCAAGACUUUACCACCGAAUAAAAGUCGUUAAAUUCUUUAUGCUGACUCCGAUCAUUUUUAUUUUUUUGAGAGAUAGGGAGCACGCUAUCCGUUUCGUUUAUUUCAUUUAGAAAUAAAUUUAGCUGGAAAUGUGAAUCAAUUAGAAUUCGAACUUGGAACCUCGGGUACCAAUCACCAAAUCCCUUGCCACUUGUUUUAGAGACGGUCGGUGAGGCUCGAUUUUAAACCCUUUCGAUUGUUAGAUAAAUAAUAUCAAAAAAUCGUAAAAUUUAUUUUCUAGAUACUUCAAAUACACUAAAUGAAGUCUAACGGAGCCAAUUGUCGAUUCGAAAGCUCCAUCAUCAAAAAUGGUUUAGAAGCACGGAGGCCUCCGUGCUCCUAGUAGCACACAAAACAUAUUAUAUAUAGAGAGAGUCCGGCUACUAUACUCUUAUAAGUAUAGAUUUUUUUAUAUUCAUAAGUUUUUAGCUAUUAAAUCUAUCCCUUUGAUUAUUUCUACCCGUUAGAUCAUAAUAUUCAACCAACCACCCACUCAAUCAUAGAGGACCACUAUCAUUCUAAUUGGAGACAAACAUCAUUUUAGUCACACAUCGGUUCAUCCAACGGCGAAAAACUUAUGAGUACAAAUGGGUUAAUAGUCAUAAGAGUAUAGUAGCCCUAGCCUUUAUAUAUAUAUAUAUAUAUAGAGCUAGGCUCCUAUGCUUUCGAAAGUACAGGAGGCCCCGUGCUUAUAAGUUGUUUUCGAUGAUGGGACAUCCGAUUCGGCGAUCGGUUCUAUUAAACUUGAUCUACGCUAUUGGAACUAUCUAGAAACCAAAUUUCAUAAUUUUUUGAUUUCGUUUGUCUAGUGAACGAGUAGCCUCAAAAUGAACGGCUGAAAAUGAAAAUCUCAUAAAAAACAGUGAUAAAGGAUUCAAAUUUUAAAUCGGAAGUAUUGAUCUUGCUACUGAUGUUAAGUAAAAUUUUCUAUUAAAUUUUCAUGUAAUUUGGAUACUUCUACACCGUUUAACUUAAAAAUGUGCCACAUCGACCGUUAAAAUAGUCAUUUUUUAGACCUUUUGAUCGCUUAGUAAAUGAUGUCAAAAAAAUCUAAAAUUUGGUUUCUAGAUAGUUCCAAUAGGAUAGAUCAUACUUAACGGAGCCGAUCGUCGAAUCGAACGUCCUAUCAUCGAAAACAACUUACAAGCACGGGGCCUNUAUAUAUAUAUAUAUAUAUAUAUAUAUAUAUAUAUAUAUAUAUAUAAAGAGACAGAGAGAGAGAAAGGGGGAGUGAGAGAGGGAGAGAGUCCGGAUAUAGCGCUUUUAAAAGUAGUAAGUACUUGGUGCUUGUAAGUUUUUUACCGUUAAAUUUAUUCCUUUGACCAAUUUUUAUCUUUAGAUUAUGCUAUUCUACUAAUCACCUACUCUACUCUAGGGGGUUACUCUCAUUCUAAUUUUAUAAAUCUUCAUCCAAAGGCUGAAAAUUCAAAAAUACUAAUGACUUGAUGCUUUUAAAAGUAUAAGAUCUCAUAUAUAUAUAUAUAUAUAUAUAUAUAUAUAUAUAGAGAGAGAGAGAGAGAGAGAGAGAGAGAGAGAGAGAGAGAGAGAGAAAGAGAGAGAGAGAGAGUUGAGCUGGAUUGCUAUCGGUAGCAAACGGGCUCCAUUGUCAUCUAUUUGUUUUCGAUGAUCGAGCAUCCAAACCGAUGAUCGAUACCAUUGAACGUUAUCGAUAUCACUUGAAGUAUUUACAAAACUUAAUAACGCCAAUGACUUGGUGCUUUUAAUAGUAUAAUAGCCUAAUUCUAUAUAUAUAAUACAAGUAAUUAUAGCCCAACAAAAAUGUACCUCAAUUUUUUGAUUAAAUCUCUCUCACUUGGUGCUUGUAAUUUUUCCGCCGUUAGAUCUAAUCUUUGAUUAUUUCUAUCCGUUAGAUUAUACUAUGCAACCAAUCAUCCACUCAACUCUAGAGAACCACUAUCGUCCUAAUCUCAUAUUUCUUAAUUUAAGGGUUGAAAAUUUAUAAGAAUCAAUGACUGUAUAUUUUUAAAAGUAUAGGAGCUCAAUUUUAUAUAUAUAUAUAUAUAUAUAUAUAUAUAUAUAUAUAUAUAUAUAUAUAUAUAUAUAUAUAUAUAUAUAUAUAUAUUGAGUCUAUGCUUUUAAAAAAGUACCAAGUUAUUGAUGCUUGUGAGAUUUUUAGCAUUUGGAUUAAGAGAUAUGCGGUUAGGCUGAUGUGGCGCCCCUAGGUUUGAGUGGGUGGUUGGUUGUAAUAAUAGUAUAAUCGUAAUGUGUUGAAAAUGAUCGGAAUCUAUCGUGAAAAAACUUAAAAGCACCAAGUGUUUGGUGCUUUUACAAGCACCAUAGCGGACUCAUAUAAUACUAUAUAUAUAUAUAAUAGUAUAUAUAUAUAUAUAUAUAUAUAUAUAUAUAUAUAUAUAUAUAUAUAUAUAUAUAUAUAAUUGAGCUCCUAUGCUUUUAAAAGUAUCAAGACAUUGGUGCUUGCAAGUUUUCGGCCCUUGGAUUAAGGGAUGUGCAGUUAGGAUAAUGUGGAUCCCCUAGGGUUGAGUGGGUGGAUCGUACUAAUUACUUAGUUAUAUGAAAUGUAUAUUUACAUUGACAUAUGAAAUUAAAGUAGGCAGUGGAAACUGAAGUGAGAGAACAGAAGAUACUGAUCAAGUGUGAGACUCUUCGAUCACUUGAUGAGUUCCUGCACAAUCUUCUACUACCAUGGUAGCAUCCACAGCACUAGUUCCCUGAUUCUCACAAUCUAUUUCGAAGUGCGUGCAUAGCGACUCAUCAAUAUCCGGACUGAAUCCCCUCAAAUCAACCGUAUCAAUUUUCUCCGACGAUGGCCUGCUGGGAUCGACAACAACUGCGAGUAGAUCAUCCGAGCUAUUUCCACUGCGUGUAGUGUGUCUCUUCUUAUGGUGCAAGAACACUCCGUAUACCGUCAAACAUGCGGUAGAUGCAAAAACAGUUAUCCCGAAAAGCCCCCAAAAGCUCCCUGGACUUAGCUUGAACUCAUCACUGUCAUCCGUCGUAGCACUCGAACAGUUGUAGGAGCCAAGCAUCUCACUCUCGAGCUUCUGAAUCAUCCCGGUCUCGAAGAUUUCGAGGAUCGCUUGAGAGAUGUCCGAUAAGAGCGGAGUGCCCUUGGGGAACACCUGAGAUACACCCUAUGAGAGUUUUAUUGCUCCAAAUUAGUCCUUUUCUAAUUCAAAGUUAAUAUAGUGUUUUCACACUCUUUGUAGGCCAAUUUGUCAGCAUUAUGGUGAUCAUUAUAAUGUUGGGGAGUUAAAUAUAACACUUACAAAGCCUAGUCCUCCGACAUGGUACUCCGGGCCGACUAUCGUGAACUCGUUGCAGUAUUUCGCGAGAAGUAAUUUCGCGUGAGAUAUGCGAAGAAAAGCAGCUUUGAUUUCGCCGCUUAGUAGAUCUUUACGAAAGUCCUCCUCGGUCGACAUUUCCUUUACAUGUUCUGGAUUGAAGAGUAAAACUUCCUUCAAGUAUUUCCCGACGACCGAGCCUCCGGUGCACCCAACAAUCGCAUUGCUACUCUUCAGUGACUCCACGGUUACAAGGUCGAGUUGUUGAACCGUGAGAAGUGAGCUAAGGCUCGCAGUGUAGUUUGUGGUUAGUACCACUGCCACAAAUAACCACACCACCAUAGCCACACGGGACAAAUUGCUCUGCAGCUUCUCUCCUGAAUAGUUUCAAUUUUCUCCAGUCAUAUGAAGCAGUUUUUAAGCAUCGGGUAAAUUGCAUCGCGAAUCCCCAACAUUUUAGUUCAAUUGUUAUAAUUGGUGUAAUCGCUAUAUGGGAAGCAGAAAAUCCCUUUAACUGGUACGUAAUUAUGUGACAAUUGCAUGAACAUUUCCAUAAAUUAAUGUGAAUGUAGUGCAAAGAAGAGGAACUCAACUGUAACAGUUAAAAGUUGAGAACCGCGCAAAAGCAUUUCAAGAAGAAAUGUCAAUUACCUGGGGAUAAAAGUGUGGUGAAGGAUAUCCAAAUUAGCGUGCUCAAUUGAUUCCAAAAGGAUCCGCUGAAUUCGCUGUUAUAUUUGCGCUCGAUGAUCCAUACGACUAGACCAUUGUACAAACCUAUUGCUAGAAUUAUGCCCCACAUUGGUGCUGUAAAAGGCUUCAAGAAUAUCCAGUCUCUGCUUGUCCCUUUCAAUCUUAGAGGCACCACCAUUACAAGCCCAGACUCGGUGUACGGUUGCGAGAACUCGACAUAGUGGUACCGGGCCGAGGAGAUCGAUGUAUCGCCGACUAACACAUCGUAGGCCUUUUCCAUAUAUAGAGAAUAUCAUAUUAGAUUAGAAAGGAAAUUAACUUAAAAUAGACAAAAGGACACAUUCCAUGAAAACCGCUUCAUAAGUACUAUAUACUAUGAUUUUCAAGUUUUGGACCCCGAAAUUCUAAAGCCAACAUUUUAGUUACCUCAUCGACAUAAAAAUGAGUGACAAUAGAUGUUGCAAAAAAAAGGUAGACUAAUAAGAUAUUAUAGUUUGCAAAAUUUUAAUUAUUAAUAGAACAAAUUGAAUUGAAUCUGAUGAAUUCAAUUUAGUACAGAACAAUACUUACUCUGAUAACACCUUUCCAGCAGUUUGAGAGGAGAAAUUAGAAAUUAAUUACAUUUCCAAAAAAAAUUCUGCAAAUUAGACUACAAAAAAAAUGUGCUUCUAAGAAAGAAAAGAACAACGAACUAACCUUCAUAUGAUCAUGCUCCAUCAAACAAUCAUAGGUGCCAUUGAAGGAGACAAACUUAUACGGCAAAUCGUAAGGCAAACGCCUUACAGUCUCCCUAAAAACCUCGAUUGAGAACCCUUCGAAGAGCUGUUCGUUCGGAUUCUGAUCAUAUUUAACACUCGCAAAAUCCGGGAACACGGCCUUCUCCGGCACCGCGAUCUUCAGAGGGUUUUCGCUUGUCGGCGGAGCCCAACCUCUUGGCACAGUCCACGGUCCCCCAGGCCAAAAAACUGGGCCCAGCACCUUCAUCGAUGAACCAUAAUCCUCUCCUUGAUCCAUACUCUUCGAGAAGCCAAGCUCUUGCGACCAAAACCCCAAUACUCUAUAGCUUUUUCCUACAACAUUCACAAGCUCAAAAGCUCUUGGCGGAGCAAACUCGCCGUCUACAAAAUAGAAUUGGCCAUUUAAACCGGAGAAAUUACUUCGACGAAUAUAUUCCGAUAGUUUCAAACCAUCCGACGAAACCCAUAUAGGGAUCAAGUCCUUCGAAUUCUCCCUAUUAAUUUUUGAUGCGUUGUUGUUAGUAGGGUUAAUCUUUUCCAUUGCCAUAGCCACAGCCCAAGCUGUGUCAUAUGCCAAGUAGGGCAAAAACUGAGGGUCUUUACUCUCUUCUUGUGGGUACCUUAAACGAAACCUCGCGUUGAAUCUCGCAUUAAAAUCGCGGACCCGAGAGCUAGGAGCGAAGUAGUUGCUCACACCAAGAACCCCUUGCAUCGGCGCGAUCGUCGACGCGUUAAGCGAAUCGAGGAGGCUUGUUAUUCCAUCAGUUACUAUCCAGACGUAAGAACUCUCCAUCAUAUUCAUCUCAUUUGCCGUUGCGAAUAACCUGUCGACAUCAUAUAACUAUAAAAUAUUAAAAUACUGUUCUCUGAUAGCAGCAGCUACUAAGUUUACAUAGGCAAUCAGUUAUUAAUUUCACGUAACCGAGCAGCGAGAUGGAUCGACGUGUGGACGACGAACACGCGGCACUGCCCGGUCUUCAGCUCCUCGAGCUUCUCGGUGAGGGUUGCCGCGGAGGAAGGGACGGCCACGCGGCGGUCGAUCUCGGAGCCAAUGUUGCGAAGUGCGUCCGCGAGGUGGGGAAUGAUGCUGGUGGCGGUGUAGUCGACGUCCUCGUAGAUGAUGGUGACCCUCCGCCACUGCCAGGAGCUGACGACGGCGGCGACAGCGCGCAUCUGCGCGUCCUGGCUGGGCGCCACGCGGACGAGGAAGGGCCAGCGCUCGGCAGCGGAGGGGGGGCUCGUCCUCGCGAACAUGAGGAUCGGCACACGGGCUCGUUGGCCGAUCUCGGCGACGAACGCCGCUUCUUCCCAUGUUCGUAGCCCGAUGAGGGCGUGCACCUGCUGCUUGUUGAUGAGAGAUAUGGCUGCAUGCAUGGGCACAGUUCAUUUUUAUUUUUAUUUUUAUAUUCAAAUUUUCUAUUCAUGUUGAAUUACGGAUUAUUUAGUAGUAUAUACGUACUUAAUUUUAUCAGUCUUUUUUAUUUUUAAACUACGUAUUUUGUUUUCCCAGACGCUUUUGCAAGAAAUCAAUUUAAUUGUGUCCAAUAAAUAACAAAAAUUAAUAUAAUAAUUUAAUUUAGAAUAAUAUUUUAAAAUUUAUUUUUAUGUUCUGAGCACCAUAGAAAUCGUUAGUUUGAUGUUAUUUUUCUCGCACGGUGAUGUCAACCCCUCUCCAAUAAAAUCUCACACAGUAUUAUAUAUCAUUUCAUUACACAAGAAAAUAUCUAUAUAUAGUGUUUUUAUCGCGGCUCGUACCGUAGGCUCUGGGUCGGGGUUCGGUCCAAUACCUGAACUUAAGCGUUGAGAAUAAAAAGCCCAAUUCCUAAUCCGAUGUUGACCUAAUUUUUGUCGAAGAUUGACUUUGUAGAUGUGUCUUGAAUUUGCGUAUUUGGAGUGAAACUACUAGAGGUUUUUUUUUUUUUUUUUUUUGACUUUGAAAUUUAUUCUUCAAACUCUUAGCUUUUUGCUUUUUUGGCUUUUGUGGUAACACAUGCUAAUGAAAAGUCCAAAUGAGAAGAACUCUUACCGGCAGACGCAGCGCGCACAGGAUCCCCCGCAGAGUCCACAACAUGUAGAGCCGGGCUGCGGCCGGUGCGAUUACGGAAGUCAUCAAUGGCCAUCUCCACGGCCACCCUCUCCUCCCUCCCGGCGCGAGACCCGCAGUCGACAAUCGCGCCGAUCCUGCCGCCGCCGGCAUUACUCGAAUCGGCUAACGCCGCCGCACUUCCACUCAAAAGCAGAAUCAAGCAAAGCAAAUAAACGUAAGGAAGAGCUAGAGCCAUUUCUCUCCCUUCACUCAGCAUUGUACUCUCCCCACACUCCAACAAUGAACAUACAAAUAUAUAGCUGGACUCUCUCUCUCUCUCUCUAUAUAUAUAUAUAUAUAUUACAAGUGUAGCAUACAGAUACGUACAUGUUCACGAAGACACAAAGAAAAUGUUUGCAUGGUCACAUCCAAAUUAAGUAUUCCUGGGACGGCAGGACUUUCAAGUCCACGCAGUCACUGUACGUGGUAAGUUUCCGGGUUACUUGCUCUGAAAUAAUUUCCAAGUUAUUUGCCCCUAAAAUAGCUAUUUUCAAGUUGUAAUUUUCAAACUGUCCAAUAAAAUAUAAUUGUUUGGCUAGUAUUAGUCAUGCAUGAAAAUGACUUUGCAACGCCCUUGUCAACAGAUGCUUCGCCCUAAGAAUCUUCCUACUUCAAUGCCAAGCUUAUUGUGUUGGUGUAUAUUCUAUAGGAUAUAAUUAACCGCGUAUCCGUUUCUAGAGGGCAAUAAAAUUGUAUAUUACUGACCGUCCCUAGAGCAAGUGGCAAAAAAUUUAGUGGUUAGUAUCGAGAUCCAAAUUCGAAUCCUAGUUGAUUCACAUUUCAAGCAAAAUUUAUUUUUAAAUGAAAUAAACGAAACAGGUAGCAUACUACUUAUCUCUCAAAUAAAUAAAUAAAUAAAUAAAAUUGCAUAUUUAUUCCUGCAAAAUUUUAUAAUCAAAUGUAUUUGUUCGAAAUUGCAUAGUUUGUAAUUAAAUUUUUCCUUCUCCAUUAGGGUGUGUUUGGAUCGUCAGAAAAUGGCUCCGAAAAAAAUUUUCGGUUAAAAAAAAUUUUCUGUUGUUUGGUUGCCUAUAAAACUUUUUUCCAGAAAACUUAUUUGACAUAUUUUGGAAAAAUGAAGGGGGAAAACGAAAAGCUUGCUGUGAAAAAAUCGCGGCGCACGAAAAUCUUGCUGUUGGAGCACGCGGUCCACGAGGUGAACUUCACCUCGUGGACCACGUGAGGGAGAGUCCACGUGUGUUAUANGAAUAAUAUUUUAAAAUUUAUUUUUAUGUUCUGAGCACCGUAGAAAUUGUUAGUUUGAUGUUAUUUUUCUCCCACGGUGAUAUCAACCCCUCUCCAAUAAAAUUGCACACAGUAUUAUAUAUCAUUUCAUUACACAAGAAAAUAUCUAUAUAUAGUUAGGGGCGUAAACGAGCCAAACACGAGCCGAACACGAGCAAACUGGGUCGGCUCGUGUUCGCGAACGCAAGCUGGCUCGUUAAAGUAUUGAGUCGAAAAAUUCAACUCGUGUUCGGCUCAUUUAUUAACGAGCCGAACACGAGCUGGCUCACGAGCUGGCCAACGAACAAUAAAUCAAAAAAGUUAGAUUAAAUAUAUAUAAAAAAUAAAUUUAUAAAAUUUUAUCCAUUAGACUUUGAUCUAAUAAUUAAAACUUUACAUAUAAAUGAGUCUUUUUGUAAUUAAGUUCGCAUUUAUAUUUUUAUUUUGCUAAAAAUUAAAUAAUAAAAAUAUAUAUUAUAUAUAAUUAUUUAUUUAUAUAUAAAAAUAUAAAUUAAAUAAAUUAUAUAAAUAUAAAAUAUAUAUAUUUGAGCAGUUAUCGAGCCGAACACGAGCGAGUUGACCCUAGCUCGUGUUUGGCCCGUUUAUUAAACGAGCUUAAUUUUUCAGCUCGUGUUCGGCUCGUUUACUAAACGAGCGAUUCGAUCUCGAGUUCAUUUCGAACCGAAUACGAGCUAGCUUGCGAACAGCGAACUAAAUUGCCACCCCUAUAUAUAGUGUUUUUACCGCGGCUUGUACCGUAGGCUCUGGGUCAGGGUUCAGUCCAAUACCUGAACGUAAGCGUUGAGAAUAAAAAGCCCAAUUCCUAAUCCGAUGUUGACCUAAUUUUUGUCGAAGAUCGACUUUGUAGAUGUGUCUUGAAUUUGCGUAUUUGGAGUGAAACUACUGGAGUUUUUUUUUUUUUUUUUUUUUUUGACUUUGAAAUUUAUUCUUCAAACUCUUAGCUUUUUGCUUUUUUGGUUUUUGUGGUAACACAUGCUCAUGAAAAGUCCAAAUGAGAAGAACUCUUACCGGCAGACGCAGCGCGCACAGGAUCCCCCGCAGAGUCCACAACAUGUAGAGCCGGGCUGCGGCCGGUGCGAUUACGGAAGUCAUCAAUGGCCAUCUCCACGGCCACCCUCUCCUCCCUCCCGGCGCGAGACCCGCAGUCGACAAUCGCGCCGAUCCUGCCGCCGCCGGCAUUACUCGAAUCGGCUACCGCCGCCGCACUUCCACUCAAAAGCAGAAUCAAGCAAAGCAAAUAAACGUAAGGAAGAGCUAGAGCCAUUUCUCUCCCUUCACUCAGCAUUGUACUCUCCCCACACUCCAACAAUGAACAUACAAAUAUAUAGCUGGACUCUCUCUCUCUCUCUAUAUAUAUAUAUAUUACAAGUGUAGCAUACAGAUACGUACAUGUUCACGAAGACACAAAGAAAAUGUUUGCAUUGUCACAUCCAAAUUAAGUAUUCCUUGGGCGGCAGGACUUUCAAGUCCACGCAGUCACUGUACGUGGUAAGUUUCCGGGUUACUUGCUCUGAAAUAAUUUCCAAGUUUCCAAGUUAUUUGCUCUUAAAAUAGCUAGUUUUAAGUUGUAAUUUUCAAAUGUCCAAUAAAAUAUAAUUGUUUGGCUAGUAUUAGUCAUACAUGAAAAUGACUUCGCAAUGCCCUUGUCAACAGAUGCUUCGCCCAAAGAAUCUUCCUACUUCAAUGCCAAGCUUAUUGUGUUGGUGUAUAUUCUAUAGGAUAUAAUUAACCGCGCGCGUAUCCGUUUCUAGAGAUCGAGCAAUAAAUUAAAUUGCAUAUUUAUUCCUGCAAAUUAAAUUUUAGUACCAAAUAUAUCCGUUCGAAAUUGCACAGUUUGUAAAUUUAUCCUUCUCCAUUAGUAAUUAACCGGUUAAAUUUUGACUUUUCUGUUAUAAUUGACCGUCCUAUAAUCUAAAAGAAAAUUUUUUUAAUUAUAUUUAGCAUUAUUUAUCAUUUCUUAUAUUUUUAUUGACCUAACCUUCGCUUUUUUACAUGAAUCGUAAACUGGAAAUCCUAAGAACUUUCUCUGAAGAACUAUUUUCAACUCCUACGUAAGAAUAGAUUUGUAUAUUUUUGCAAUUUUUAGGGAUAAAUUUGAUAAUUAGAAUUUUGCAGGGAUAAAUCCGCAUGCAAUUUCAAAACUUUGAGGAUUACAUAUGAAANAUAAUAAUAAUAUAUAUAAUAAAAAAUAUAUUAUAUAAGUUUUUAUCUACUUUUCCUUAUUUUUCAACCAAACAACGCCCAUCAUCGAAAACUACUUUUUUUUUUUCUACAAACCAAAUACUACACCAUGGAAAAUAUUUUUUCCACGGAAAAUUUUUUUCCACCGAAAAUUUUUUUUCGCAGUUCUACGUCAAACCAAACAGCCCCUUAGUAAUUAACCGGUUAAAUUUUGACUUUUCUAUUAUAAAUUGACCGUCCUAUAAUCUAAAAGAAAAAUUUUAAUUAUAUUUAGCAUUAUUUAUCAUUUCUUAUAAUUUUAUUGACUUAACCUUCGCCUUUUUACAUCAAUCGUAAACUGGCCGGAAAUCCGAAGAACUUUCUCUGAAGAACUAUUUUCAACUCCAACGAAUAGAUUUGUAUAUUUUAGCAGUUUUUAGGGAUAAAUUUGAUAAUUAGAAUUUUGCAGGAAUAAAUUUGCAAUUUCAAAACUUUGAGGAUUACAUAUGAAAUUAUUCCUUCCACAUAUAUUUAGAAAAUUUGUGGCAAAUAAAAUUAAAACAAUCAACAACUAGUAAUUAAUUAAAAUUAUUAAUUUUAAUAAAGUUUUUAGUAUAAUACUCGAUAUUUUUUUAUAAAUAAUGUUAUAUUUACAAACAAAUUUUACAAUACUUUACGUACAAAUCUUGCAUACACGGCGAAAUUUAAUUGGCAGAGAAGUGUAAACCACAAUAAGAUAAAUACGACUUAUAAUUUCAAGAUUACAAUCCGACCGUUGAGUUGUAUAUAUAUAUAGUUUGUACUUUGUAAGUAUUUCUAUUUUCACCUACCUCUUUUUUUUUAAAAAAAAAAAAAACCUCCUAGUAAUUAAUAAGAAGUUGGAUAGAAAUAGUCCUACUUACGUAUAUAUUUACAUUUUUUUUUUGGCCUUAGUAAACACUAGAAUAUGUUUGCUUAUUCGAAUAUGAAGUUCUGAGCCAAUUUCUUGUUAGAAGUAGUCUCGCGUACGUGCAUAGAACUUCCAAUGGUCGCCGGUAAUUAGUAAUUUCCGAGUCAUUCAGGGUUUGUGUAGAAGGAUUGAUGGAUCCUCCCUUUUAACAAUCUUGAGUUUUUUCUACAGUAAACUACUAGGGAAUCUCCGGAAUGUUGUUGAGUUUUUUCUACAACCUAUAUACUACGAGGGAAUCUUCAGAAUGGUGUAUUUAUAUAUUGCAACGAUGUCAAGUCGUUUUUUAUGUUUAAGCGUCUGAAUCGACGAUCGGUAUAGUUGAAUUUGACCUAAAGCAUUUGAAAUACUUAGGAACCGAUAUGGUCCAAGUACGCUGUUUGUUCGUUUAACAAUGUAAAACGAUCCUUUUUUUUAAAAAAAAUUUGAUCGAAAGAUUCUUUUUAAUUUUGUUUUACUAUCUUGAUCAUGUUCGACAACCCCCAUUUUAUAUUUAUAAGCUCUAACCUCUAUUUUCACAACUUUUGCAUUUUUAACCACUCAUUUCAUAGCCAUUUGAUGCACUAGAGAGUGAAUUUCAAAAACUAUCGAGUAUUUUUGACGGUGCCGAGUGCCGAUUCGGAUUCCUAAUUAUCGUAAAUGACUUGAUAGGAUAAAAAGUUUUUUCUUAUUAAUAGGAUAGUAACUUUGAUACUUAUAUAUGACAUCAAAAAAAUAAUUUAGAUUAUGUACAUAAAUUUUUUUUGAGAAAAAAACAUUAGUGAUUCUUGAAGGACCCAGAACAUUUUUCGCAAUUUAUAAACACCGAUAUGUACUGGAUGUAGAAAAUCGAGUUGCGUAAAUAGUUAUUAGAAAUUGUAAUUACUGAAUUGCGAUUUGGGUACUGUUUUUUUUGGGUUAAACAUCAGUGGGUUGUAAAAUAACUCAAAUUGUAAUUUGCGAAUUUCUAUUUUACCGUGCAUGUAUUUUUAAUCGAUCAAAUUUAUAUAAGUCAUUAGCCUGGGGCUUAAUGUGGAGGUUAAGGCUCGGCUUUAAUGCCUGGCCUGGAACAUAAACAAAUGCCUCACUAGCCUUUUGGUAGCAUACUACAUCUAAUAUUAAAAAAUAUAUAAUAAAUAAAUGAUUAGUAAAAAUGAAAUAUGAUUUACAUACUCGAAGCCCGACCUGUAAAGCCCAUAGGAAUGUGGCAAGUCAUUUUUGGGUCCAUUAUGUAACACAAGAGGUGUGUUUCGCUCAGAUGUGUCGUAUAUUUUUUUUCAUGGUAUCACAAUUCAUAACGGUAUCACUUAUAAUAUCAAAAACUUAGUCUUCGCUUACUAAUUUUGCAGUUGUUUGAAAUAGAGAAAUUGCUUAAGAAGCCAAAUAAAAAGAUCAACUAAUCGAUUAACAAAACACCAAAACAUACCAAAAAAGCGAUCUUUAAUGUCCAUAAUAAUAAUAAUAUUGCACAAGAACUAAGAUAGAUCACCAGAAAUUAGAAUGGUACAUUGAAACCAAAAAACAACAAAGAAAUACUUUUCUAGUGGUAUACAAAAAACAACACAACUAGAAAUUAACCUCUCUAACUCAUCCAUCUCCAUCAUAAUUUUUGCCAACAAUUUUCAUCCCCAUGAUGAAUUGAAUAACAAAUAAAAGAAGAAAAGAAAUACAACAAAAAAAAAUAAAAUACACAAAGAAUACAAUUUCCACCACCACAACAACCUACAGAACAAUCUUAUCAGGCGGGCCAACGAUCUAUAUAUCGUCGCGUGUUUUUGAAAAGCAUCACGAGGGAGGGCAUAGCAUAGCGGCCCCCUCGCGGCCGAGGAGCUCUUUCUCGCCGCGAACAGAAGCAUCCGAGGCAGGAGAAGCCAUUUUCUUGAGGUUUUGUUGUUGCUCAUACACACGUCUCAGCCUCUCUAUCUCCUUCUUAAGAGCUUCUUGAUGUGCUGCAAUAUUAGUAUGCAUUUCGACAUAAAAAAUCACAAUGUGUAAACAAUUUCCUUUUUUUUUUUUUUGUUGCGAGUACAUUUAAACAAAUGUGGAGAUGAGGAAUAGGGAUGAGAUAGGCGUAUAAUUAAGGUUUCAAAGGUCAAAAUAAGCUGUACAGGAAUAACUUGUGGUAGUCAAAAUAAGUUGUACAGGAAUAACUUGUGGUAAAUGCGUAUUUGAGGUACGAACUAGGUCGAACAAAAACAAAAAUGGUUUAUCCCUAAUACUUUUUUUUUCCUUUUUGAGAAGAGUACUACUACAUCGUCAAAAUUCCAAAUAUUAUCCAUUCGUUAUUUCUCACUUUUAAAAGCCUUAAUCCGUACUUAUCUUUAAAAAAAAGAAGAAGCAUUUGUUUGGCUCCGCGCGUGUACCUCGGUCGAAAAACAAAUAAUUUAUAUUUAUAAUUAACAUAAUGAAAGUACUAAAUAUGUUGAAUAAUUUAGUGUAGCAUUGAAACAAAACGUGGCUCUUACGUAAGCAUAAAAGGUUAUUUCUUCAAAAAUAGGAAUUGAUACUUCUAGACCAAAAUUGAUAGUGAAGCUAGAGCAUAUUCUUUAUGUUUAGCCAAAUUAUAGACCUUUUCGUUUUGACCAGCUCAAUUCCCAUCAGAAAUUCAUAACAUUGAACAAUAAUUCAGAAUUUGGAGCACCCUUGAACUAAAAAUCCCACCUUUUAAUCCAUAAUGCUGUUGAAUAUAAAUAUUAAAAAUAUUAUAUUAAGAUAAUUCUAAAUCAUUUCGUUCUGUGAGGUCGUAAGUUUAAUUUUUUAUUUAAAUAUGUAAUAAAUUAAAUUUUUAUAUUAUACGACAGGUUAAAUUAUCUAAGUGUCUUUCGUAUAUAUUGAGAGCAUUAGUGCAUAGAAUUCUAUGCUAAGGUUAAUAAACCACGAGAAAGAAAAAAGAGAAGAAUGUAAAAUUAAUCUAAUGACUUAGUGAAGGAACAUACCAUCCUUGAAGAUCUUAUCUUGCGCUAGAGCAGCAAUCCGCUGCUUAAGAUGGCUGUUCCCGACGGUCAGAAGCGAGCGCUGGUGAUCGAGGAAUGCGACUCGUGGAGACAAUGCCGACACCUCCGUCUACAAUUCAGAAUCAAAUCGAUUCAGUAAAUAACAAGCAACUCUAUGUAAGCGCGAAUCUCAGUCUAAUUUAGAGGAAAGGAAAAAAAAAAACCUAUGUGAUUUUUUUUUUGAAAAUAAAAUUAUAAGAGGAGAAUUCUCAAACAAUGGGCUUGUACCUGCAAUGACGUGACGCUACGUUCGAGCUCGGAUAUGUACUGCAGUUUCCUCACUCGGGAUCUCUGCGCGGAUUGCCUAUUCGCCAAUAUCCUGAACAGUAACCAAUCUAUAAGAUUCAGAGAUAAUUCUAACACAAUUAAUGCCGCACCAUUUUCAAUGCAAACGUAAUUUGCAAAUAUAAUUUAUUUUUAGCAUUUUCAAAUCAGACCGUAGCGCGUACCUCUUAACCCUCUUCGGAUCAACAAAUGUGGUAGGCUCAGGCCCGGGAGCCGGCUGCUCCUCCUCGCUCUGCGCCUCCUCCGCCUGCUGCUCCGCUGCCGUCUUCUGAUCUUCAUUAAUGCUGUUAUGAUCCGACGGCGUCGACGGGUUCGACGACGACACGACGGGCGCCGGCGGCGGCACGUCGUCGGAGAACAUGGACAUGAGCUGGUCGUCGUCGAGGCGGUCGAACUCGCCGCCCCCGCCGCCGACGACGGCGGAGCAGUCGGCCAGCGGCGCCUCGAGGAACGCCACCGAGUCGCUGACCGACCGGCGGUGGGCCCCGCGCCGCGCGGCGGAGAAGCAGAGGAACUCGUCGACCCAGGACGGCUGCUGCGGGGCCGACAUCGUCGGACUCCUCUCGAAAUUGACGGCCCAGUUGCCCGCAAUGCUGGGGAUCCUGGGAGGCAACUGAGCCAUUAAUCUCCCUUUCCCUCCAGCAAACUAGCUAGUGUGAAGGUUAUAUUAUUAUUAUGUGUAUGAUCUUCUUCGGAUUAAUUAGCAUCUUUGUUAUUUUGUUGUAAUGGGGAAGGAGAGGUAAUGUAGGUGGAGGAGGAGGAGGUCACAUGGGAGGAGGAGAGGGGACAGCUAGAAACAGCUGUGCGGUAGAGAGAGCGAAAAAAAAACAAAAGAGAGAGAGAGAGAGAGAGAGAGAGAGAGAGAGAGAGAGAGAGAGUGUGUGUGUGUGUGUGUGUGAGGGCGAGGGAGUUGGGACUCAACGGUUACACAGGAAAAUCGCAGAGCGGUUUUAUAAUAAUUUUGGCAGAAUCAGCGACCACGUGGUGACGCAACUGUAGCUUUUGUGCGCCCACCCCCCCUCAACAACGAAAAAUCUAAAAUACACCGAGACUUCAUUUGCUAUUACAAAAAAAAAAAAUACUUUUUCUACGGUAAUAAACUAAUUAUGAUAUAUUUUUUACGAUCUCAUCAAAAAAUAUAAAAAUAUAUUUCUAAAAAAUAGAACUUUAUUUUAUCUAAUAAAAUCAGAUGAGUCUCAAUACCAAACUAAGCCCAACUAUAUUUAUUGAAAUGACGUUUCUAACUAACUAGAUAUUUUUCUUUGAGUUUAUUCGUCGCAUGAUAGUUAUUAGAAAUAUAUUUUUAUUAUAUAUAUUUUUUUUCACUAUCCUAUUCCAUAGUAGAUACUUUAGGUAAAAAUAAAAUUAAAAUUACAUUGUUGUUAAGAUCAACAAUUUUUUCAAUCUUAUGUUGCUAAGGUGAAAAAAAAAUAAACUAUAGGGGAGCAAAUUAAAGUUUACCUAAAAGAAAUUGAGAAGCUCCUCCAUGGAUUCUCGUUGAGAUUAAUUGUUUGAUUUAUCAUACUUCCAGAUUUUAUUAAAAGGUUUGUCCACAGGCUAUUUAGAUAGGUUUGUAAACUUUCGUUUUUUGGGAUAUAUUCCUCAACUUUAAUUUAAGUUAAUUUAAUUAAUUAAAUUUUUUUUUAUUAAAUUAAUAUAUUACCGUAUCAAAUUUGAUAACCUUAAUUACUUUUCAGCUGAUAAAAAAGUGGAUUUCGCUACUAAUUAGAGAUGAACAACUAAAAAGAAUGAGUUUUCUAAGUAAUUAAUUAAUAAUUAAUAGCUAAAUUUUUAAUUAAUUUAAUAAAACUCAAGAUUUUGAUGACUUAAAUAAUUAAAUUAAAAAUAAAUAAAAUUAAGAUACGGAGGUACGAACAAAAGAAAUAAAGUUUAAGGACAAUUUUAACAUGCGUUUGAGGGCGCUGUUUUACAUAUCGCUCUCAUUUUUUUAAGAGCGCAUUUUGGAUCUACCAUUAUAUGUAUAUAUAGAGUACAGAGAUAUUAAUUCUACAGCAAAUUAAUUUAAAUUUUAAAGCUUUUUGCAUCUUCUCUUUUGACAAUGUAACUCACUAAAAAAUAAUUAAAUCUUUAAUUACCAUAUAUGUAAAUUAUUUUAUCUGCAAAGGCAUGCGUACACAAGAAUUAACAAAGAAUAUGCUUAUGUACUUACAACAUCAAAUUAAACAUAUUUUUUUACGAAUUAUUUCUCAAACUCACUACAACAGAAUUAAGUUAUAGGAGUACAUGUUUGGAACACUUUUGUAUAAGUGUCACAUUUAUGUCAAAACUUUUAAAAAAAUUUACUAAUACGUAAAUAUAAAGCCGAAUACAACCAAAAAUAAAAGAUUACUCUACUCAAUUCACCCCACCCAGCCCAUUCAGUCCAAUUACAAACAGAAAAGAAAAGAAAAAAAAAUUGAUUAAUAUCUUCCCUUCUUCCCUCACUCAAUCUACUGAAAUCCUAAACGAAGAGUCCUUCCCUAUCCUACUCCUAUGCCACCGCAACCAACGAGGUAGAGUUUUGGCGGUUGCUAAAUACUUAAAUAAGUGUUGGUAAAUUAGUAGCACUCUUUUUAGAUUAUAGCGACACUCUUUAACUGUCACUAUAUACCUAGCGACCCCACAUAUAGCAACAUUUUUUAAAAGUGUCGGUAAUUUAGCCAGCAGUAUUUUUUUUGACCUGUACUGAUAUUUAAAAGUGUUGCUAUAUACCGUUUUUGUUGUGGUAACUAUGCAGGAAAGUUAAACAUGAGAGAUUAAUAUAUGAAACACUAAUAUAUAAUUUUGAGCCACUGCAUGAAUAAUUAGCAUUACAUCACUUACAUGCACAGUAGAGACAUGCGAUCCAAAAAUAUUACUUGUCCAAUAUUUGCAACUAAUUAUUAAGUGACAAAAUUAUAGACUCAGCCAUGUGGAUUUAUACCCAUCUUGUUGAGAUGUUGCUCGCCACUUGAAGGGAUUAAUUGCUACUCCUAAGUACUUUUGCUUGUUGAGUUAUUUUAUUACAUACAUAUAUAUGUAUCCAGCUAUGCACAUCAAUGGGAACAAUAAAGUAACAAGUGAUGCGCAUUGUAGAUUUUGGUACUUGGUGAUGGGAUAUGGUGGGAGUUUAUGUGGAAUAAUAGGAGGGAAGUGUUGCUUGCACCCAGUGUAUUCAUACAAUUUAUGCGCGCGGCACACUUAAAAUUUAAUAAUCAAGAUGAUUAAUAUUUUUUUAAGUUAAAAAUUUAUUAGAUAACUAUGGUUUAUUUUAGUUAAAAUUAAGGCAUAUAUAGAUAAAAUUAUAAGUUUUGAAAAUUUAUAUUCUAGCAUUAAGAGUUUCUUUGGUAUUGUAGACGCUCUAACGGAAUUAUUGAUUAGCUAAAAAAAUAUUGUGACAAAAAUGUAUAGAUACCGGCUUUUCUAUUAUAGCUAGGUGGGGAAUUAGUUCAGACUAUCACUUAGAAAAACAAACAGAAUAUUAUUCAAUUGUACAAUUUUAUUGCACUUUAUAGCAGGUUCAAAAGGAGCCUAAUUAAGUACAAGCCUAAAAAUAAAUAUCAUACAUAAAAGAAAUAUAUGAUGUUUCAUAUAUAAAAGUUUUGCGUGAUGUAUAAUUAAUGUAUUCAACAAAUUAUAUUUUAAUUUUAAAAUCUUCAUAAUAAAAUUAAAGAGUUUUGAUAUUGUCAAAACUUGUUUUAAAAUUGCCAAAGCAAAAUAAAAUAGAUUAAAUUCUGGUUGGAUAUAAUGUAUUUUUCUCUGACAAUAAUAAAAACAAUUCUAACAUUAUUUAUAUUCUAAGAUUAUAAUGUAGUAGUACAUGGUGCACCAGAUGCAUGCAAUAAUUUGUUGGGGGAAAAGAGAGGGGGUGGAGGGGAAAGAAGAGUGCGGAUUUAAAUGAUCUCCCCAUGUGCGUUGCUCACAUACUCUUCUCUGUCCUUGUCCCCAAACAAUCAUAGAUCACAUGCACAUCACAUGCCCCCCUCAUUUGCCUUUUCAACUGUUGCUUUCCUUUUCCAAUUAAUAUUCCUCUUGUUUUUCAUCUCUUUUUUUGUUUCUUUUUUUUUCUAAUGACUUAGGUGUAUUGAUCCCUGCAGCUUCUUGGCACCUUCAAGGGCUAUAAUUAUUAUUGCUUCGCUAGUUGUUUUUUUAUAUAUUUUUUAAAUUUUUUAACUUUUAAACAAUGUAGGGUGUUGGUUGGUGCAUUGUUUGCUAGAGUUAAGGGCAUGUUUGGUUCACCUAUUUUAGACUAUGGAAUCGGAAUGGAAUUCAUUGAUUCCGAUAGUUGCCGUUUGUUUUAUAGGAAUCGGAUUUCGAUUCUCAUUCCACUCCGAAAUGGGAAUGGCCAAAUCCAUUUAUGAUCCAAUCCGGCUUUGAAUCCCGAAUUGGCUUAUUCUAAAGUAACCUAUUCAAAAUCCUCUUUCAUCAAUAUCUAUCUCCUCUCCCUUCAUCACUUUUCUCUCUCUUAAUCAAAACCUUCUCUCAAAAAUUUUAAAUUUUCAUUCCGAUUUUCAUUCCAAUAAUGUACCAAACAUUUUUGGAUGAUUCGUCAUUCCAUUUCCAAUUCCAAAGCAACCCAAUUCCAUUUUCCAUUCCUAUUCUAAUCAUGAACCAAACAUGCCCUAAGUGUUACUGUAAAGGGAAAGGAUCUGUACCAUCUAAUCCUUUUGUUGCACUUAAUUUAAGUUACAGAUCAAGUACUUGGACUUAUUACAUGUGAAUCAAGUUAAACAUAGGGGUUUUGUAAUUAGCUGUUCUUUUUUUAAAAACAAAAAACUCAGAACUUUGGAAAUAAGUUCUCUAGCCUGCUCCAAACAAAAGCAGGAAUGAAAUUUCACACUUUCAGUCUAUAAAUCUAAAUGCAAUAAAGUUUUAUAACAAAAUAAUAAUAAGAGAGAAAUAUGUUAUACUAUCUGUUUUUUUUUUUUUGAAUGAAAUUUUACACUUUCAAUCUAUAAAUCUAAAUGCAAUAAAGUUUUAUAACAAAAUAACAACAAGACAAAAAAAAAUUAGAGAUAAAUAUAGCAUACUAUCUUUUCUUUUUUCUUUUUUUUGAAGUGUGCUCAUCUGAAAAUAUAAAGCAACUUAUUUAUUUAUAUUAAUGAUGAUCAGUAAUAAAAUAUAACAUUUACAGUAUGCUGUGAGGGUUAAUUGAAGUUUUCUAUGGGAAAAAAGAGUAGGGUAGCAUAAUAGUUACAUUGAAAUCCGCAGCACAUGUAGCAAACAUUCGAAAAGUAAAAAAGUAAAAAACAAAAAAACAAAAAAUAAAAAAACACAGAGUAAUGUGGAACACAGUGACACACCUGUCAAUGAAAAGUUGAUAAUUCCAUUAACCAUCUCUGAUCCAUCAAUUUAGAAAAAUAAUUCUGUUUGGCCUUGGGAUUUGUGGAUGUUUUCAGUAUUUCUUUUUAAUGGGUACUAUUAAGAAUCCCUGAAAUUUAUUUUCUUUUUUUUGAGAAAAAGGUGGCACGCUGCCCAUUUCAUUCAUUGGAUCGAUGAAAUAGGCUACAAGGAUGAGGCAUUCUGGGCCUCGAGAGAAUCAAAACGAAGUCCGAAAAAAAAAUUAAACUAUUAAGGCCUAAGUAUAAAGCCCAAUCCAAUCAAAAAUAAAAGAUUACUCGACUCAACCCACCUUAGCUAGCCCAUUCAGCCAGAUUACAAACAAAAAAGAAAACAAAAAAAAAAAUCAAUCAUUAUCUUCCCUUCUCCCCUUACUCAAUCCACUGAAACCCUAGACGAAGAGCCUCUCGCUUUCCUCCUCCUGCGCGCCGCAACCGACGAGAUAGGAUUUCGACGGUUGCUAAAUACUUAAAUAAGUGUUGGUAAAUUAGCAGCAUUUUUUUUAGGUUAUACCGAUACUCUUAAACUGUCACUAUAUACCUAGCGACCCCACAUACAGCAAUAUUUUUUAAAAGCGUCGGUAACUUAGGCAGCAACACUUUUUUUGACAUGUAUCGACAUUUAAAAGUGUCGCUAUACACCUUUUUUGUUGUAGUGUAUUUAUGUCAAAAUAAAGUACAAAUACAACUUAAUCUUAAUUAUUAUCAUUUGAAUACAAGAUUAUUAUAUUAUAUUUGAUUGGAUUCUUACUAGAGAUGUCAACGGAUCGGAUUCGGGGCGGAUUUUCAAAAAUUCGAACCCGAACCCGACUCCAAACCCGAGACCCGAAUCCGAAUCCGAACCUGACGGAUUUUAAAAAUCCAUAUCCAAACCCGAACCCGACCAAAAAUCCGAAACCCGAACCCAAAUCCGAACCCGAAAAUUUGAACCGGAAACAAUUAACUUUUUUUUCAAUAUUUCAAAAUAUAUUAUAUUAAAUCUAAAUUUUUAAAAUACAAAUUCAAAUAUAACAUCAAAUUUUUAUAUAUAUAUUAUAUAUAAUAUAAAAUAAAUUCGGGUUCGGGUCGGGUUCGGGAUCGGGUCCGGUACAAUCAAAAUCUAUAUCCGAAUCCAUAUCCGUCAGAUUUUUAUUUUUGAUAUCCAUAUCCGAAUCCAUAUCCGUCAGAUUUUUAUUUUUGAUAUCCAUAUUCGAAUCUAUAUUUAUUUAGUAUCGAAUAUAUCCAUUUCAUUCGGGUUCGAACUCGGAUAAAAUUUCGGGUAUCCAUACUCAUUGACAUCCGUAAAUCUUACUGUCAUCUCUCAUCUCUCCAUAGACGUUUGUUAUGUAAGAUGAAAUUCUAUAUAAAAAAUUUCUGUUGUAGAGAAAAUUUUCUAAAAACAACAUACAGAGUUAAGAGUCAGUUAAUAAGAUCGAUCAUCUAUAUAUGAAGAUUUUUUUUUUCUUUUUUCUUUUCUAUCUCAUUUUACCUAUUCAAACCCCAGCUACCGCGCGCCAUAGGUAUAUCUAGUUAUCUGCUCUUUUUUUUUGUUUUAUUUUUUUAUUUUUUUUAUUUUUUUUUUUCGUCUUUGUCCGACUUUUCAUCUUUUUAGAGAUCUUGUUGGCUCACCCAUGUAGCUAAGUUCAUAUCCUGAAUGAAUGAAGCGGGUAGCGUGCUACCUUUUUCUAAAAAAAAAAAAACAACUGAAUCGCGAAGCUUUUGAUUAGCAUUUCGGAUAACAAUUUUUAGACUACCAGGUUUUUUCUUUUUAUUUUUUUAUCUGCAUGUUUUUACGGUAGAGAAUCGGAGCAGGCAGAGAAGGAUUAAAUCGGAACAGUGAAUGUGGUAGCCACAUAAGAGAGACGUACCUUUGUCUUUGCAUGGGAAGCACAUUACGUGUAUAUUUAGAUAUUACGUAUAAUAAUGCACGGGACAAUGUAUAUACACAUCCAGGGGAGUGGCCAUUGCUUCUUCAUGCACUCACGUGGCAUUGUCUGCCUAACUAAUUGCAUUCAUUUGCGGGGACCCUGCAACAUUUCUUUUUUGUUUUCUUUUUUAAGAAAAAUUGGCGUGCACCAUAUUUCGUUCAUUCUUUAUAAAAAUAAGUUUAGCUGAAAAUACAAAACAUCUAUAUUUUGAAGUUGAAAUUUUGGAUAUCAACUAUUAACUUCUUUACCAUCUGCGCUAGAGACAGUUGGUGACCCUCGAACACGGAGAAAGGUGAGUAGAAUACUACCGAUUGCAAAGGGCUCCGUUGCUAUACAAUAUGUUUUUGAUGAUAGAGCUUUUGAACCGACGAUCGUCACUGCUGAAAAUAAUCUAGAUUACUAGACGUAUCUAAAAAUCAAAUUUUAUAUUUUUUAAUAUUAUUCUCUUGUACAUUAAGUGGACAUAAAAAAAUGAACGGUUAAAAAUAAAUAUUCUUCAAAAAUUGAUGAUAGGAUUCUUCUAAUCGAUAUUAAGAAUAUAAAUCUCAUUUUAAAAUUUUAAAAAUUUUACAACCAAAAUUCAAUUGAUUUAAAUUUUCUUACAUCGUCAAAUGAGCAAACGCCUCAUAUCGGUUAUUAAAAUUAUAAAUUUUGUAACCCUUUGAUUAAUAAGUCAAUAAUGUCAAAAAAAAUAGAAAUUUAAUUGCUACAUACUCCAAGUAGUAUAUAUGAUGUUCAAUACUGUCGAUCGUCAAUUUGGAGACUCCAUCAUUAAAAUAAAUCGAUAGCAAUGAAGGCGCCGUUUACUAUUUGAUAAUAUUCUAGCCCAACUCUCUCUCCUUCUAUAUAGAGAGAGAGUAAGAGAGAGAGGCAUUAAGAAUGCAAACGAAUCCACAUUGAUAGAACCCUCAGCCCGAUUGGACAAUUGCAAAAGGAGUUGGAAAAAAACAUAACAGAGUAUGUUUCUAAUUACUUCUACCCUGCGACUACAAAAUCAUAUCAUAAUCGAUUUAGUGUAAUAUGUGUGAUAUGAUACCACUAUUUACAUUUCUAAUGAUCGUUCCUUCUCACUACUGGCAAUUUCAAAGAGAGUCUAAGCAUUGUUUAAACAAUAUUAUAAAAAAAAAAUACUUAUUUCAAAUUUUUUUUAAUAUCUUUUCUUUGUAGCAGAAGUAAAAAAGAUCAAAUGAAAAUUUUCCCUUUCAAUACUCAAAAUAUUAUUUUAUUUUUUGUGCUACAACAGAGCAUUUUAAAUUUUUAAUUUGCAAAAUGCUACAAUGAAAGUGAUUGCUGUCGAGAGCAGAGGAAAACGCGCAGAAUUCAGUGCAAAAGCCUCUAACAUGGAAGCAUUCUAUCACUAUGUGUAACACAAGUAUCAUAAAUCUCAAAACUACAUGAACGACAGAAAAAACAGUCUCAUAUUAGGAAUUGUCUUUUUUUUUCUUUUUUUUUCUUUUUUUUGAAACCAAGACAACACGGGUCUGGAAAGAGGGAAAGAGUAGGGGCACCUCAAUGGGCUGGGUUGGGUGUUUUUGGGCGUAAUUAGGCCCAACUGAUGUUCGAGAAUCCGAUCGAACCAACAUGUGCCAAUCUACGCCCGAGCCCGAUUUGCCCCAACGUUAUAUUUUGGGCUUGGCUCCGACGCUUUUUAAGGCAUUGACUUGUAAACAUUAUUAUUUUUCUCAUUAAAGUUUAAUCUAGUUCGAGCCCAUCAUUUAUAUAGUUUUGUGUUCAUUUAACCUUACUUCAUAGCUUAUAAGAACAAAAAAUUCUAGUAAACUAGCUUUGGUGCUAACAACUAGCUACCAUGGAGAUGCAUUCGUUCUCGUGAAAAGCCAAAUUAACUUUUUGGAUUUAAAUACACAAAUUCCAAUUCAGAGUUUGGUUAACUUGAAGCCUAGCUAAUAGCAGAAUUCGAACUCAAGGCACAUGUACAUCAAUUACUCUAGUGAUUUUUUUUUCUUUUUUUUCUUUUUUUGAGAAAUGCUAAGUCUAUAAACCAUCUCCAUCCUCAAAUACUUUUUAAAAUUUAAUAUUACAAUAAAUAAAAAGUUGAUAAGAUCAAUUUAUGAUACUUGGCUUUUGGAUAGCCAAGCUAUGGAAUUCCAAUUUUUUGGGUUGUAAAUCUAGUACUAAUUGCACAUAUAUUUUUCUUUCUUAUUUCUUUGUUUCUUUAUUUUCCCCCUCGACGGGCUAUGGGUGUGUUUGGUUGCCCGUAAAACUACUCCGAAAAAUUUUUUCGCUUCAAAAGUGGCUUUCCGUUAUUUGGUUGCUCGUAAAAAAAUUUGCUGGAAAUUUUUUUUUACAAAUUCUCUAGAAAAAUGAAGUUUUCGUUUUCUGCCCGCAGUCGGCGGAAAACGAAAACUUCCUCCAAAAAUUGAGACUCACAGGCCGUUCAAAAAAACACGGUUCAUGAGAAAGCCAGGUUCUCAUGGACCGCGUGAGUGGUCCAAUGUGGACCACUCCCUCUCUCUCACACACACACACACACACACACACACAUAUAUAUAUAUAUAUAUAUAUAUAUAUAUAUAUAUAUAUAUAUAUAUAUAUAUAUAUAUAUAUAUAGUUGAACUAGAAUACUCUCAAUAGUAAACGGAGUGUUUUACUAUCGAGUUGUUUUUUAUGAUAGAGCUUCCAAAUUGACGAUCGGUUCCGUUAAAUAUGAUCUAAACCAUUUAAACUAUCUAGAAAUCAAAUUUCACGCACUUUCGAUAUAUUUCUUUAUCCAUCUAUGAACAGAAAAUGAAUGGUUGAAAAUGAAUAUUCUUUAAAAAAUGGUGAUAGGAGUCUUGUAAUCAAGAUCAAGAGUAUAGAUCUUGUUUUAAAUAGUUUAAAGAAUUUUCUAACAAAAAUUCAAUUGAUUUGGAUAUUUACACCGUUAAACGAGAAAACGUCUCUUAUCCACCAUUACAAUUACAAAUUUUGAAACCCUUUGAUCAUUAGGCAAAUGAUGUCGAAAAGAUUUGAAAUUUGAUUUCUAAACACUUUAAGUGGUAUAGAUCAUGUCACGGAGCCGUCGUCAAUUGAAAACUUUAUCAUCGAAAACAACUCGAUAGUAAAAUCCCGUUUACUAUCGAGAGUAUUCUAGCUCAACUCUAUAUUAUAUAUAUAUAUAUAUAUUAUAUUAGAGAGAGAGAGAGAGAGAUCCGGCUGGGAUACUAUUGAUAGCACUAAGCACUUGAUGCUACUAGUUUUCCGCCGUUAGAUUUAAUCCUUUGACUAUUUUCACCCCUUAGAUUAUACUAUUCAACCAACAACUUUCUUAAUCCUAGGGGCCCACAUCAUUCUAACGUACAUUCUUCAUCCAAGACGAAAAAACUUGGUAGCACCAAAUGCUUGUGGCUAUUGAUAGCAUUCCAGCUUAAUUCUAUAUAUAUAUAUACAAAAUAUAUAUAUAUAUAUAUAUAUAUAUAUAUAAAGGUGAAAAAUUAUUAUACAUAUUUUAUUUUUUAUUUAUAAAUAUUAUAUAUUUUUAUUAUAUAAUAUUGUAUGCAUACUAUUAUAUAAAUUAUAUUAUAUACUUAUCAAUUUAUCAUAUUAGAUAAUUUUAAUAUAUUUAAUUCAUAAAAUAUAAGUUACAAUAAUAAUAAUAAUAAUAUAGCUUAAUAAUUAAUAUAAAUAAAUAAUAUAUAGGAUAUAUAAUAAAAAAAUUUUCCUUCCAACCAAACUAGUGAGGCUGAAAAAUUAUUUUCUUUUUCUACAAACCAAACACUAAAACCUGUAAAAAUAAAUUUUUCACGGAAUUUUUUUUUUCACUAAAAAUUUUCUUUUCCAGUUUUAUGUUGAACCCAACAGCCUCUAAGUAAGCCAGUAAGCCCGCAUGACACUUCGAAAUUAUCUUAAGCUUUUUGCUGCAUUAUUGUAGCGGAACUAUCUAUCUAUUACUAUAUACUAAAGUCGUGGAGCACUCGUUAGAGUGGGCUGGUAUGUUUCUGGAAGCACGGAGCCCUCCGUGUUUCCAAGUUAUUUUCGAUGUUGGGACUUUCGAAUCGACGAUCGGCUCCGUUAGAGUUGAUCUAGAGUAUUUGAAAUGCCUAGAAAUAAAUUUUGUGAUUUUUCAAUAUCAUUUGCCUAGUGAUCGAAGGGGCUCAAAAUCAAUCAUUUUAAUGGCCGUGGUGAGCCGUUUGCAAAUUUAACGGUGUAGAAAUAUUCAAAUCACAUGAAAUUUUGAUAGAAAAUUCUUUAUACCAUAUAAAACAAGAUCAAUAACUUUGAUCUAAAAUUUUAAUGUCAUAUCAUCAUAUUCUGUAAGAUUUUUAUUUUCAGCUGUUGAUUUUGAGCCACUUCGAUCACUAGGCAAAUGAUAUCGAAAAAUCGCAAGAUUUAUUUUCUAGAUACUUCAAAUACUCUAGAUCAAGUCUAACGGAGCCGAUCGUCAAUUUGAAAGUCCGGACAUCGAAAACAACUUGAAAGCGCAGAGCGCUCCAUGCUUCCAGAAGCAUACCAGAUUCACUCCACUCGUUGAAUAUCUAUUUAUAUAUAUAUAUAUAUAUAUAUAUAUAUAUAUAUAUAUAUGGUAGUUGGACAAAAAUAAUCUCAGCGAGUACACAAUUACGUAGAUACUCUACAUUUACUAGAUAAGUUACUAGCUAGGUGCAACAGUACAUGUAUCAGAUAUUUCAAGUGAAUGUGAUUGAUAUCUUCGCCCGAAUUUUCUUUCCUACAAACGAUCUCAUCUGAUGGCGAUGUUGCCGACACUGCAAUUAUUUUUGUUAUCAUCCUCCACAGAACGUAACAAAUAUUUCCAUUUCAUUGAAAGUGAAAAAUGAAGCAUAUCACCUAUUCGAGGUUGGAUAUUACGGAGAAGCAUGUUAGUGAGAUCGCGGUGAGAUGGUGCGGUUAUCUACGCAAUAUACUCCAGGUAAAAUAUUAAAGCUUUGCCCAGAUAUCAAAGUUCUUUGCUCAAUCACACGAUCUAGUAAGUGAGAAUUUGGUGCAUAAUUAUUUUCCUUUUGCCAUUGGUAGUCCUCUUAUAUAUUUUUUCUAAUAUUUACCGAUCUCACCAUUCAUAUAUGAUUUUCUAAUCUUUACACGCAGUAAAAGCGCUAUAUUUGGGUCAGCUAGUAAUCCAACCAUUUGAGCGGAAUCAAAUACCAUCAAAUUAAUUACGUACCUUAAAUGCUCCUUUUAUUUGAUGCUAAUUAAUAAGUUAAGCAUUCUAAUCACUUUUUUUUGCUCAUUUUCUUAAUAUUCAAAGGGUUUUUUUUUAAAGAAAAAACAAAUUUGCCUAUAAACCUCCGCAUCCAUAAAACUUCUUAAAUAUUCAUGUCAAUUUAUUAUCCAAAAAAUAAAGAUUUUAAAUCCUAUUUUUGAAUCGUAGGCNACAAAUAAAUCGGUACUAUACCGUUUGCACGUAUACACCAAUCCGCCGUUGUCGGUGAAGAAGAAGAAAGAGGCCAUGAGGCCUCUUUGCGCGCCAUUGUUGUUGUCGAGGUCGGCGUCGAAGAAGAAGAAAGAGGAGGUCAUGAGGCCUCCUCGCACGCCGUCGUCGUCGUCAAAGUCAUCGCCGUCGCCGCCGUACGAGCCUUCAAAUCCUUUUUUUGGUUGGCUGUGGGAGGAGGGACCCACGCCUCCUCUCUCUGUCCGAUCCAGAGAGAGGGAGGUGUGGAGACCCCUCCUCUGGAGGGGCUGUCUCUCUCUGUUUUCUUUUUUUUUUUGCUUUCUUUAUUUUUUCUUUUCUUUCUUUUUUUUUAUUUUUUAAUCCCUCUCACCCUCCAAGAGAUUUUUUUUUUGAAUUCUAUGGUCUAAUUUAUAGUGAGUCUGGGCCAUCUUUGUUUUGGGAAAUGAUUCAAAAAUUUUUGAAAAGAGGGCAACUAUAUUUUCUUUAUUACUUUUUUUUGUUGAUAAUAGGGUAUCUAAGGAAAGUGCAAUUAAAUUACAAUCUAUUUUUUUUUCCUUCUAGAUACUCAAUUUGAAUUUGAAUUUUUUUUAUCUUAAACACUCGCACAUCUUGUAUCAAAAAUAUUCUACUACCGAUGGUUCCGACAAUCAAAAUUAUCUUUCAUAUUAGAUAUAUUUCCGAUUUGGUUGUUAUAUUUACUAAAUAAAGACUUAAUAAUCACAAGGUUUACAUGCAACCAUUUGGAUUAAAAUGAUACCUAAUCAAACGUUAGAGGCUAAAAAUAUAAUUCAGUGCUAGUUACUACGAAGUUCCAAAUUAAAAUGCGUUCAGAUACAUAAACGUUAGGGGUAAUUUGAUUGUAUGUAUUUGUCUCACACCCUGAAAUCAUUUUUCUGAAAGCCAAUUCGAAAAUAAGCUAUCUUUAUAAAUCAAAGUCAACGAAAAAAAACAACAUUUAGACACCAAAUAUAACUUCAAAACCCCACUAUAUAUAUAUAUAUAUAUAUAUAUAUAUAUAUAUAUAUAGUUGAACUAGAAUACUCUCAAUAGUAAACGGAGUGUUUUACUAUCGAGUUGUUUUUUAUGAUAGAGCUUCCAAAUUGACGAUCGGUUCCGUUAAAUAUGAUCUAAACCAUUUAAACUAUCUAGAAAUCAAAUUUCACGCACUUUCGAUAUUAUUCUUUUAUCCAUCUAGUGAACAGAAAAUGAAUGGUUGAAAAUGAAUAUUCUUUAAAAAAUGAUGAUAGGAGUCUUGUAAUCAAGAUCAAGAGUAUAGAUCUUGUUUUAAAUAGUUUAAAGAAUUUUCUAACAAAAAUUCAAUUGAUUUGGAUAUCUUUACACCGUUAAACGAGAAAACGUCUCUUAUCCACCAUUACAAUUACAAAUUUUGAAACCCUUUGAUCAUUAGGCAAAUGAUGUCGAAAAGAUUUGAAAUUUGAUUUCUAAACACUUUAANNNNNNNNNNNNNNNNNNNNNNNNNNNNNNNNNNNNNNNNNNNNNNNNNNNNNNNNNNNNNNNNNNNNNNNNNNNNNNNNNNNNNNNNNNNNNNNNNNNNNNNNNNNNNNNNNNNNNNNNNNNNNNNNNNNNNNNNNNNNNNNNNNNNNNNNNNNNNNNNNNNNNNNNNNNNNNNNNNNNNNNNNNNNNNNNNNNNNNNNNNNNNNNNNNNNNNNNNNNNNNNNNNNNNNNNNNNNNNNNNNNNNNNNNNNNNNNNNNNNNNNNNNNNNNNNNNNNNNNNNNNNNNNNNNNNNNNNNNNNNNNNNNNNNNNNNNNNNNNNNNNNNNNNNNNNNNNNNNNNNNNNNNNNNNNNNNNNNNNNNNNNNNNNNNNNNNNNNNNNNNNNNNNNNNNNNNNNNNNNNNNNNNNNNNNNNNNNNNNNNNNNNNNNNNNNNNNNNNNNNNNNNNNNNNNNNNNNNNNNNNNNNNNNNNNNNNNNNNNNNNNNNNNNNNNNNNNNNNNNNNNNNNNNNNNNNNNNNNNNNNNNNNNNNNNNNNNNNNNNNNNNNNNNNNNNNNNNNNNNNNNNNNNNNNNNNNNNNNNNNNNNNNNNNNNNNNNNNNNNNNNNNNNNNNNNNNNNNNNNNNNNNNNNNNNNNNNNNNNNNNNNNNNNNNNNNNNNNNNNNNNNNNNNNNNNNNNNNNNNNNNNNNNNNNNNNNNNNNNNNNNNNNNNNNNNNNNNNNNNNNNNNNNNNNNNNNNNNNNNNNNNNNNNNNNNNNNNNNNNNNNNNNNNNNNNNNNNNNNNNNNNNNNNNNNNNNNNNNNNNNNNNNNNNNNNNNNNNNNNNNNNNNNNNNNNNNNNNNNNNNNNNNNNNNNNNNNNNNNNNNNNNNNNNNNNNNNNNNNNNNNNNNNNNNNNNNNNNNNNNNNNNNNNNNNNNNNNNNNNNNNNNGUGCACCAUUUAGCUACUAUCUGCGUGUUGCACAUCUAGGAAAAAGAAAAUAGCUAAUUAUUUUCAGUAAAAAUUUCUAAGCAAACAUAUUUUAGAGAGAGGAGGAUAGAUUAAGUAAAAAACCAACAUUUAUAAAUAUUGUAGUAAUUGAAAAAACAGAGCAUGAACAAUUCAAGGCUUUCAUUUUUGAAAGUUUAGACGGUUAUCUGCAAAUGGACAGGAAUUUGCGUGACUACUUAAUUUGUAGGGAACAAUCAGUGUUUAGAAUUUAUGAUUUUUGAGAUGUUGGUAUUUUAAACAUACGUUCUAGAACGCAUCCAAUAUCAAGGAUUAUAAAAAAUUAAAAUGAGCGAGGAGCUAAUCAGAAGAUAUAAAAUGGUUAUACUAAUAUGAGAAAAAUUAAAUUAUGUCAACACAUGUGAAUGUUUAGAAGCAAAAAACUUGUAGGAGCCAAUCUGCAAAAUCAAAAUAGUGCAGGGACUAUCGCAUAUGUUUUUCGCUUUAGCGUAGUCAAGUCAAUCCGACAGGCACCCUAAUCAAAUUAAGCACGGCAAAGACUCAGGUCAUCUUAACUUUAGUAUUUUUUCCAUUUUAUUUACAAAAUUUAAAACGUGCAUAAAAAUAAGAGUCAUCUUACUAAAUUCACGACGUUCAUAACAUAGAUGGACUGUGUGAUUCAAGUAUCUGAUGAGAUUCACGAUGAGUCACUAUCUACUUUUACUACUGAAAAAGCGGAUCCUUCUUUGGAAAUUCGUGAAGCAUAUGUUAGCGUAGCAUUAUUCAAAGAGUCUACGAUUAAGUGCGUGCUAGUUUUGCCGAAAGUGAAGUAACGAUUGAAAUAGAUUUUUAGUUGAACUAGAGUAUAUAUGUGUUAAUGAAAAAUUUAAAAUCUUUAAUGUUUAUUUAUUAUUUAUUUUAUUUUAUUUAAUUUAUUUAAUGUAUUAUUAUUUAUUUAAUAUUUCUUUUUNUUUUAUUUGAUGCUAAUUAAUAAGUUAAGCAUUCUAAUCACUUUUUUUUGCUCAUUUUCUUAAUAUUCAAAGGGUUUUUUUUUAAAGAAAAAACAAAUUUGCCUAUAAACCUCCGCAUCCAUAAAACUUCUUAAAUAUUCAUGUCAAUUUAUUAUCCAAAAAAUAAAGAUUUUAAAUCCUAUUUUUGAAUCGUAGGCACAAGAAUCAAUUCCACAAACUCUUCGUCCGCAAAUCUUAUAUAAUGACUAUUGGACAAGCCUAAUAAUAAUAAAUAAAUAUAAUGCGGUGGUCUUCGUUAUAAUCAAUGCACGAAGGACAGAAAGAGAGAGAGAGAGAGAGAGAGAAAAGAAGAGGCCUUAAAUAACAAAUAAAUGUACUCUAUUGUUGAUUGGCAUGCCAGAAAAGCAAGGGUUGUCGGCCAACCAAUACAAGAUAAGGUUGGCCCCACCAUCAAUAGCUAAGAUGGAUUAUGAUACGGCAGAAAAAAUCAAUUGGAGUUAUGGACCCUAGCUGGAUCUGCCACUUUUUUAAAUUUUUUCUUUUAUUUUAAGUUUGUUCUUGAACUUUCAGUAUACACAUAUUAUUUUCGUAAAAAGCAAUAAGUAGAUUAUUUUGAAUUGUCUGAUCAACCUUUGGAAAUUUUGUUUUCACUAUAUGGCAUUUUAAAAAUAUUUGAUUUGAGUCGAUUAACAAUACUCUGACCUCAAAAUUAAAACUAAUUACUUAAUUACUUUAAUAAAUUUACAUUGCACGUAAAGCAUAGUACUAACUAAACAUAUAAAAAUAAAUAAAUUUUGAAAGCCGAAAUAUCGUUGACUAACUCUAAUCAAUUAAAUUGAAAUGUUGGAUAGUUAAAUCAAAAUUUUAAAUUAUUUGGAUAGCUGAAACAAAAUAAUCUAUGGCUGAGAUAAGUUUUGUACAUUUUGAUCUAUUACUUUUAGUACUAAGAAACUAGAGAGCAUAGCUUUUUUUUUUUGUGCGAAAAUCAGCUUAUAUGCCCCUAUAAAGUUUUCGACUUUCAUAUUUAUCCUUCUUCGAAGGCUAGUAUGAAAACUAUCCUUCUAAAGUUUUACCCAUCUAAAAAAUAUUCUUAUAAAAUUUUAAGGUUGGUAUUAUUGAUAGUAUAGUAGCAUAAUUCUAUAUAUAUAUAUAGAGAGAGAGAGAGAGAGUUGGACUGGGCUACUAUUAGUAGCAAAAUUUCAUUGUUGCUACCAGUUUUUUAGCCUUUAGAUCAAUUCUUUUCAUUAUUUCUAACCAUUGGAUUAAAUACUAUAACCCUGGAGACCACUCAAUCCUAGGGGGACCACUCAAUUCUAACCGACUAAUAUCAUCCUGACCUUAUAAUUUUUCAUCCAAAGGUUAAAAAUUUGAUAGCAAAAAGAGCGUUUUACUAUUAAUAGUAUUCCAGCCUAAUUCUAUAUAUAUAUAUAUAUAUAUAUAUAUAUAUUCAACUCGCUAUGUCCACGCAUAACUACACGUACAUUUACUACUUAAAAUUACAACAUCCGUAUUAUUUAAUAGACUGUCAUGAGAACUUCAAAAAUAAAAAAUAAAAAGUGUGGGUCUCAUAUCAUUUCAGCCAUUAGAAACAUCUAAAUUUUAGGUGCAGUCAUGAUUCGAGAGGCAUAAUAUUUUUUUAUUCUUAAAAAUAAUAAUUUUGUAUAGAAAAGAUAUUGAAGUGAGCGGUGGAUUGCUAACUAUUUUACAAAUUAUUUAUCAGUAUAUUAGAAAGGUAAAACUUCGAAAGUAUUUUUAUAUUUUUAAAGUUUUUUAAAGAAGUUGCCACUUUUAUGUGGGCAGGCUGCAAUGGAAAUUAAUAAAUCAUGAACGAAAAAAUAAUAGAGAAGCUAUCCGGAAACAUAACUAAUUGUAUAAAAUUUAUAUUUAAAAUUUAAAAAAAAUUGAAAAUAGCAAAUAGCAAAUGAGGCCUUAGUAGUUAUAGCCGGCUUCUCUUUCGAUGUUGUUCUUCUACUCUCUCUCUCUCUCUCUCUCUCUUUUCAUAAGGGUUCUUCCACAAGAUUAAUUAAACUCUAAUUAAUAAUUUCAAUUUAUUAAUUAAUCUAAUUAAUAUUAAAUUAUUAUUUAUGGAUAAUCUGCUAAGGGUGGGAACAGUUAUUUCCACCUCUAUUUUUAUUUAUAAAAUUUAAAAAUUUAAAAAAUUAAAAUUAAAAUUUUAAAUUUUAUAAUUUGUAAUCUCAAAAUUAAAUUUUAUAAUUUUAAAUUUUAAAUUUUAUAUUUUAAAAAUUAAAAUUAAAAUUUUAAAUUUUAAAUUUUAAAAUUUUAAAAUUUAAAAUUUGAUAUUUAUAUUUUUUAAAUUUAAAUUUGAUCUUAAAUUUAAAGUUUGAAAUUUAAAUUUUAAAUUUUAAAAUUUUAAAAUUUAAAAUUUGAUAUUUAUAUUUUUUAAAUUUAAAUUUGAUCUUAAAUUUAAAGUUUGAAAUUUAAAUUUUAAAUUUUAAAAUUUUAAAAUUUAAAAUUUGAUAUUUAUAUUUUUUAAAUUUAAAUUUGAUCUUAAAUUUAAAGUUUGAAAUUUAAAUUUUAAAUUUUAAAAUUUUAAAAUUUAAAAUUUGAUAUUUAUAUUUUUUAAAUUUAAAUUUGAUCUUAAAUUUAAAGUUUGAAAUUUAAAUUUUAAAUUUUAAAAUUUUAAAAUUUAAAAUUUGAUAUUUAUAUUUUUUAAAUUUAAAUUUGAUCUUAAAUUUAAAGUUUGAAAUUUAAAUUUUAAAUUUUAAAAUUUUAAAAUUUAAAAUUUGAUAUUUAUAUUUUUUAAAUUUAAAUUUGAUCUUAAAUUUAAAGUUUGAAAUUUAAAUUUUAAAUUUUAAAAUUUUAAAAUUUAAAAUUUGAUAUUUAUAUUUUUUAAAUUUAAAUUUGAUCUUAAAUUUAAAGUUUGAAAUUUUAAAUCUUAAAAUUUAAAAUUUGGAUUUUAAAUUUUAAAUUUUAAUUUUGAAUUUUGAAAUCUAAACGUUAAAAUUUUAAAUUUUAAAAAAUAUAUAUAAUUUAAAAUUUCAAAUUCAAAUAUAAUGAGAGGGUAUUAUUAUUAUUUUUUUUAUAUAUAACAACUCACUAUUCUUUUUAUUUUAUCUUAUAUAUUUAAGCACUAUUUUUUUUAGGAACAACCUAAUUUUUAUUCAAACGUAAAAUUGAUGUACAUUUUUACUUAUAUCUGAACUUAUACUUAUUCCUGAAAUAUGCCGUUCUUUCUUAUAGCCGAACCGAACUAUACCUUAACAAUUAUCCUCACCUAAACCUCACAUAAAAUUUUACGAUUCGAAUAAAUAAGGAUUUUGAAUAAUUUUAUAAGAUCCGACCCGUUACACACAUCUCUCGUAUCCCCACUAGGUAUAUGUUGCAACCUGGCGCUAGAAAGUAAUUGCUUGAUAAAACCUCCGAAUGUUUCCCCGUUGUUUACAACAACUAAGACUCCCGCGCUCCUUCAACGGUCGCUACAAACUCCCCUUCUUCUCUCUCUUCUUCUCCCACUCCUCUUCCUCUACCCCUCCAUUUCCCGAGGGAGAUCCCAAUGCCUCCUCCUCCUCCUCCUCGUGGACUGCUGCGAUCCGCUCCGCUGCCGAUGCCGGCCGCCCUCGCCGCGCCCUCCACCUCUACAUCUCCAUGCUCCGCUCCGGCCCCCAACCCUGCCCCUUCGCCGUUGCGGCUGCGCUCAAAUCCAUUUCCCGCCUCCCCCCUUCCAUUUUCCCUCCCCUCACCUCCUCCUUCCACGCCCACCUCCUCAAGCUCGGCCUCCGCUCCCACGUCUACCCGCACACCGCCCUCGCCGACCUUUACUCCCGCCUCCCCCAAUCCUCCGACGCCGCCCACAAGGUCCUCGAUGAGGUCCCCGUCAGAAACAUCGUUUCUUGGAACUCUGUUCUCUCCUAUCACCUGCGAUCCGGUGAUCUGCAUGCUGCCCGGAAGGUGUUCGACGAAAUGCCCGCCAGGGAUGUCGUCUCGUGGAACUCCAUGGUCGCGGGGCUCGCCAAAGCCGGUGAUAUNAUAUAUAUAUCACUAAUUAUUUUUAUUUCCCCUUAAUUUUUCUACUUUUCUUAUUUACUCUUAAACGAUUUUCUUUUUUUUAAUUUACUCUUACAAAGAUCAGCUUUUUUUCUCAAGCUAAAAAGGAAAAACUUCAUCUUUUUUUUUUUUUAAUUUACCCUUACAAAGAUCAUCAUGGCCGAAGAAGAUGAAGUUGUUUCUUCUUAUCACUGUACCCCCAUUCAUUGGUCCAUCCCACUUAACGAAUAUCACAAAAUCAAGCCCUAAAUAUACAAAAAUUCAUUGCUAGUCCAAAAAAGAUUAAAAUUAUGUUCUUACAUACGAAAUGAAAAUGAAUCAAAAUAUUCAUAUUACCUUUAUUAGAAUUUAGAGUAAUAAAUUAUUAGAGAAAUUCUUGGUCGAGAGACCUCUGCCACCGCCACUAUCAUUGUCGUCGGAGGUGUCGCUAACGAGGACCCCGAAGGAGAAGAUCUGAUCAACAUGAAGGAGAAAUCCUAAAGAGAGAAGGGUUGAGAGGGAUAGAUCAGGAUAAUAGAUUAUUAAAUAAAAAGGAAUAAAAAUAGUAUUUCAUCUCUGUUUUAACUUGGGUAAGACGUAAUUAAAAUUUAGUCCGAGAUGAACUAACAGCUACUAACAAAAGACAAAUUUAAAUAAUGAAAAAGGUUUAUAAAUAUAUUUUUAAAAUAAUUUUUUUUAGAAAUAUAUAAAAAUAUUUUUUAAGUUUUAGAGUAAGUGGGCAAUUAUUAUUAUUAUUCCAUUUUAAUAUGCAAUAUUGUGAACGGAUGUCCUCUCUUUGCAAACUUAAGUACUAGCUACUUGACCGACCGUUCCUAGCGCAAGUGGCAAAUGGUUUGGUAGUUGGUACUUGAAAUUUCAAGUUUGAAUCCUAAUUGAUUCACAUUUCUAUCUAAAUUUAUUUCUAACACGUGGAUCUUUGGUUUCAAACUAUCCCUGUGACUUUGUGGCAUAACCACAUACGUGGAUCCCUUGUUUUCAAAACUGUGAGCCCAACGACAAUUUAUUGAAAAAGACAACUGCAAUUGUAAAAUAGCCUAAAUAAUUAAAUAAUCACCGGUAAGGAUGUAAAUAAAUUUUAAUUGGUGGAGCAUCUGUUUCGCUUCGUUCCGAAUAACAUGAUUAAUAUGAGAUCAAAAAUAAAUAGAAUUAUUUUCAUCUUUUGAUUCAUUUUAAUUUACCAAAAAUUCGUCAAAAAUAAACUGCAUCUCAACCUAUUCGGAACAAAAAUGGUAAAUAAAAAUCAAAACUUUCCAAACACUGAGAACGGAAUAAUCCUUUUGCAGAAAACUCUGAGGAAUCACCACCGUCCAACUGCCGGCGGCAAGCGUCAGUGCACGUCCUGCACCAUCGGCCCAACGUGAUAUCCACGCACCACGUGUUCGACAAUGUUACUGUUAGAGACACUUUUACAUCUCCAUCCCUCCGCACAGACAAAAAUUUUAUGGGCACUGUUUGGGCACGGUGCCCAGAUGGGCGCCGCGUGUGCAGCGGCGCCCAUCCUCACCCUCAAAAAAAACACAAAAAAAAAAAUGAAUGGACUCGAUUUUUAGGAGAGGAGAAAUGAGAGGGAAAGGGCAGGGGUGCGGAUGGCGCACUGCACACGCGCGGCGCCAUCCAGGCGCGUGCCCAAACAAAUUGUUUGGGCACGGUGCCCAUAAAAUUUUUGUCCUCUCCGCACCACGUGUUGUCGUAAUCAGACGUGUUAAAUGUAUGCAUAAUCUCCGUACUAUUCCGGAAUGUACUUCAAUCCGACCCCUACACUUUUAAUCAGAUGAAUAUUUUGUUCUUGACAUUUAUUUAUAUAAUAUAUAUAUACUUAAAAAUAGAAUCUAUAUAUUUUUUUUUAUUUAUAUGUUAAUUUUAUUUAAAUUAGAUUAACUGUAAGUAAGCUACUUUAUUUUGAAUAUAUAAAAUUAAAUUAUUAGUUAAAAAUAGAUUUGUGUUAUGAUUAGGAACUAAAGUAUAAAAAAGUUUACAGUUGGAUUGACUAAGAGCUCAUAUGGUAUUGAGAUCUAUUUAAUGCCAAUAAGUAAAGUAGAGUUAAAAAAAUGAAUAAAAAUAUACUUUUUGCCUUUUUUUCCAUAGAAUCGUAGAAAAUAUGUUGGAGCCGACUCAUCGUAAUUUGCAAAAUAUGAUAUUAUGCGCGAAAUACCAAAUACAAUACUAUAUACAAAAAUAAAUGUGAUAAUAAGUUUAACAUAUUUUCGCUCUGCAUGUAAUACAAUCUUUUCGUAACUCUAAAUGAACUCUGAAUUUAGUAUAAAAUUACAUUGUCUAAAUACAUCUUCUUUUGUAUUAUAAAAAACAAUAAUGUAUGAAAAUACCUAAGAAAAUUUCUUUUGUAGUGUUAUAAAAUUUUUUUUUCUUCAGCGAUAAUUUCUAUCACUAUUUAUAAUAUCUGAAAAAAUAUAUAUUUUUUAAGUUUUCAAGUUUUUUAACAUAUAACUAUGCGUAUAUUUACUUAGUAUUAUAAUUUCAAACUACGCCCUAAGGAGUGUUUGGUUAGAAAAAAACAAUAUCAUGACUAGAAUAAUAUAUAUUUUUUUUAUCUAUUUAGUUCUUAAUUUUGUUUUUUAGAUUUUAUUUAAAAAAAAGAGUGCUGUUUAAUUAUUUAUUUUUUAUUUAAAAAGUAAAAACUGUAAAAUAAAAAAAAAAGCCAUUAACUUUUGGGCAAUUUGCAUAAAAAAAUCACUAGUUUUGGACAUUUGUAAAAAUAAGUAAUAUUUUUUAUUUUUUCAAGUUCGAUUCGAUUUUUCAGCAAACUGGUGAAAAUACAGUUCAAAACUAAUGAAUUUUUUUAAUGCAAAUUGGCCUUAACUUUUAGCGGGCGUACAGAAAUUUAAGAAGCACCUUUCCGUAAAACAACUGACUCAAUUAGAUUCGCGUAUCGCUCUCCUUGUCACGCCACUCCGAUUCCCACACCCCCCCCACCUCUCAUGGCGUGGCGAAGCAAAUCCUCGCCUCUCCCUCUUCCCCUCCUCCUCCUCUUCCUCGUCUCCCUCCUCCUUCCCAUCGCCAUUAGAGGCGCCGAAGCGCGCUCGAUCUCGCGCCCCGUCGCUCUAGGCUCCGAUCCCUCUCUCUCCGAUGGGAUCGACACCCCUCAUUCCUAUUCCCGAUCCCGGUCCGUCCCUCUCCUCCGCCUCCUCACUCGGAGCGAGGGAUCGAGGGGUUUUAGAGCUUCGGAGGAGGGUUGCGAGCAAACGUACGGGUUCCUCCCCUGCACGACGACGGUGGUGGGGAACCUGUUCCUGGUGGUGGUCUACGGGUUCCUAAUGUUUAAGGCCGCGACGUACUUGUCCGCGGGGUGCGAGAUGCUCCUCGAGAUCCUGGGGCCCGGGAUCGUCGGCGGCCUCUUCCUCCCCAUCCUCGGGGCUCUCCCUGAUGCCAUGCUCAUUCUCGGUAGAUUUCGAGCUCCGAUCCUUGUUCUCUGCCGUAAUUUAGCUUUAGAUGCUUAAGAACUCGGUUUUAGACCUCGGGUUUUACUUGAAUUUUACUGUCGAUGAUUUAGUUUGGAUGCGUGUGCGGUGAGGCAGGUAUAUUUAGGUUGGAGUGGGCUCUUCUUUUUCUAGUUAUUUGCUAGUAAUGCGUGUUGCAACUAGGAAGUGUAUUUUAAGCUCAGUUUAAUUUUACUAUUUGGUAGGCGAGAUGAUGCCUGUUUAGUUCUUUUACACCUAAGACGCAUGAUCGAAUCAUCCAUUGAUAGACAAAAUGAUUUUAACAGAUCUAUUGUGUUCUAGUAUCACAUAAGUAUGGAGCAGGCACGUGAAGCAGAGUAGGCAGAGAGAUGAAUGGUUCACAUACUCGCCGAAGUGAUAUUCGCACUCUCAAGGGCUUGAUAGUUUUGCUGAGUUAAAUUAUUUGUUAAAUUGGCUCGAAAGAUUAGUUAAACCAUUUUAUUGUAAAGUUUUUUGCCUUUUUCACUAGUUGCGAUCAGUUAACUUUAUGAAGGUUUCCAAUCAUAGUUGUGAUCCCUCCAACAAAUAACAGAUAUUUCUAUCCCAUUUCUCUCUAUUACAUCGCGGAGAUGUUAGGUGUCCCAUAAUUCUGGAAUCUUUGGAGAAAUUAAUAUUUGAUCUUAGAUAUAGCAAUAGAUGAUUUAAUGCAGAUUAAAAUCUUUAACGGAAAAAAGUUAACGACUUAUAGACUUUUUUUGCCAUGAAUAGUAAUCUGAUGUUCAUAUCUUUUUUCAGUCUCUGGUCUAUCUGGGAGUAAAGAAACUGCUCAAAGUCAGGUCCUUAUUGGAAUGGGACUGCUCGCUGGUUCAACUGUCAUGCUUCUGACAUUACUAUGGGGAUCUUGUAUCGUUGUUGGCAAGUGCGAUCUUUCCGAGAAUUUGACCUCCGUUGAUUCACAGGAUACAAAAGGUUUCAGUCUCUUUGGUAUGUUCACUUCUCUCUCACUCAUAUUGCUUCUAUGUGAUAAGUCCCUUCAUGGCUUGUACCACUGAAUAUAAAUUCUGUUCCCGAGUAUGGAUAUGAGACCUCGCUUCCUUAGUGCGAAAUAUUUCUUUUUUUUUUUUGUUUCCUUCAUUGUUUUCUUGAUUCCAUUUGAAGCUUUGUCCGUAUCCAUCUGCCUACUGUCUUUCACUAUUAGUCUCAGCUGUUUUCUUGGAAAUAUGCUACCUUUUUAUUCUAUUAUUAACAUUAUUAUGAUUACCAGUUAAUAACUCACCAAUAUGCUCAUACUUGCAUUGCUCACUAAUGGAAUACGUUAUUAGCUUUGGUACUUUCUAUUAAUUGAAUUUUUGCAUAUUUUUUCAGGGUCUGGUGUUACAACUGAUCUACAAACUAGCUAUGCAGCAAGAAUCAUGGCCAUAUCAAUACUUCCGUUCAUCAUUGUCCAACUGCCAAAAAUUUUCAAGUUUCCUUCUGGGCAGCGGUUAACAGUCUUGCUUUCUCUUAUUGUGGCAGUUGCACUUGUGCUUUCAUACUGCCUGUAUCAGGUAUAUUAAAAAAAUAAUAUGAACUUCAAUCCUUAAGGUUUCUCUCUUUAGGAAGUAAAAAAACAAUGGUCUGUUUUCCUGCUUACAUUCAUGACUUGAUCCUGCAAGUAUGUUGGCUGCAUUGAUUGUCUCUAUGGGGGUUUAACUUCAUUGUAGCAGCGAGAAAUAACUGAAAUUUAUUAUAUGUUUAGUAUUUACUUAUGUAAGUAGCUUUGAAUUGUUUAACAUUUUUUUUUGUAUAUAAUGGGGCAGAUCUUUCAACCAUGGAUUCAGAGGAGAAGACUAGCAUAUGCAAAGCAUAAGCAUGUAAUAUCUGGAAUUCUAAGACAUGCUCAAAUGGAAACCCUUGGACGGCUACUUUAUGAUGAUGGAACACCUAAUGUUUCUAUAAUUAAAAAGUAAGUUGUUUCUUCUGUUUUCUUUAGAUUAUUACUGAUAUCGCACUUUUAUUUAUUCUCAUACUAUGUCUUACUGCAGAUUAUUUCAUAAAAUAGAUUUGGAUGAAAAUGGAUUAAUAUCACGUGCAGAGCUGCGAGCAUUUAUCAUUGGAAUUCAAUUUGAAGAGAUUGACUUAGAUAGGGAUGAUGCUGUAGAUAAAGUAAUGGACGAAUUUGACACAUCAGGCAAUGAUAUUAUUGAAGAAGAGGAAUUUAUUCGGGGAAUUUGCAAAUGGCUUGAAGAGGCUAAACGUUCUAUUACUUUUUCUGGUGCUUACUCCAAGAGGUUCUUGCAUGACUUUCAUAUGGUAAUAAUUUUCCUCUUGAUAUUGUCCAACAUGUGGUUCCAAUGCUUGCUUGGCCUGGAGUUUUGGAACAUCUGUUAUUUGGUUAACAUGCUGACUGGAGCUUUAGUUGUGGCAGAAAGCUAAAAUAAGCUUUUGGGCCUAAAAAAUAAAAGAUCGAAAUUGAAGCUUUUGCUUCUACUACAACAAGAAGCUGUAGAGGAGAUGACAAGAUUUUAAAGAGAAAAAAAAAGAGCUCUACUCAGAUGGUGUAUCUUUAGAAGCGUCUACUGGGCCAAAGAGGUCCUCACUGCAUACUAAACUUGAAAUAAUAACACCUUUCAAAUCCCUUAAAAUUUGCAGAAAACACGGGAUGAACAUAACUUGUUGCUGGAUAAGGGUGAUGAGGUCGUAGAAAAUGUUGAUAACCCCGCCUGGACCUGCUUUAAAGCCAUCUUACUUGUGCUCCUGGGAACUGUUAUGGCAGCCAUAUUUGCGGAUCCACUUGUCGACGCUGUUGACAAUUUUUCGCUUGCAACGAGUAUACCUUCCUUCUUCAUUUCUUUCAUUGCAAUGCCAUUGGCUACAAACUCAAGUGAGGCUGUCUCAGCAAUUAUUUUUGCUUGCAGAAAGAAGCAACGUACUUCUUCCCUCACAUUCUCCGAGGUUUGUUUCAUUGUCUUGUAAAAUGUUGCCUUAGAUUGCGCUAUAACCUACUUAGCUUUAUGGGGCUUCGUCAAAGCACUUCUUAUCUAAUUGCUUUCAUUCAGUAAGGGUCAUGUUCUUUUUCAUGUAAUCUUUAAUUAAUAUAGUGAUUUCCUCCUGCAAGAGUCAUUUUAAGCUAGAAAUUUCUCUUAGUGUCGUUUCUCUUGCUUUUUAAGAGCGUAUUCUUGUGAAAGUAACAAUAUACAUCAUUAACUGUACUCUUGAACUUGCCAUUUUCGCUAGUGUUCUGUGAAAAUUCUCACACAUUGUUCAAUAUAUCGCAGAUAUAUGGUGGGGUAACGAUGAACAACACGCUCUGUUUGGCCGUGUUCUUGGCCCUGGUUUAUUUAAGGCAUCUGACGUGGGAUUUCUCAUCCGAGGUACUUAUAAUUCUAAUUGUCUGUAUCGUGAUGGGCCUGUUCACUAGCUUCCGGACCACAUUCCCACUAUGGACUUGCUUCGUGGCCUUCCUGCUCUACCCACUGUCUCUCGUGAUCGUCUACGUUCUUGACUUCAUUUUCGGCUGGUCGUAGGCUUUUUGUGGUUCAAUAAUUUGAAGACCUAUCUUGUCUGGUACUUUGUUCAAACUCCUUCCUCUUUCCUUUUGUCUGCAUCUGUUGUGUUCUUAUUGAAUAACUAUUGUAGAGAUGAAUCUUGUUACGCAGUUCUGCAGUUCUUUGUUGCCGACUUUUUGGUUUGAGUUCUAUUUAACCGGGGACUUUAAUCUAGAAGCUAUUACUGUAAUCAAGUAUUCUCAAACGUUUGUUGCAAUGCUUGCUGCUGGAGAGUUUUUGUGAAUCCCUCUGUUAGAACUCCAUAAAGUGAAUCAGGUUUCGGAUGUUCUUCAAUAUAUAUUGCACCAAAAACCCAGAACAGGAUUUGCUUGCAUCGUGGAUUUGAAAUCUUUUCGGAAAUACUAAUUUGGAUACAUAUUAGAAAAGUUUCCUGAAUCGAAGUUGAGUAUCCAACAGAUGAUUUUUUUUUUUUUUUUUGUCACAGGUGUAAUAUAAGUUUUGAUUCCUUGAUCAGGAAUUAGUAUUUCUUUAAACGAAAUAAAUCAAAUAUCAUGCUUAUCUCGCAAGUGUUUACACAUGGCACGAGUGUACAUACGCAUGGAUGUAAAUUAACACUCGUGCCGUUUCCGUUGUUUAGACCCCAGUUGCUCCAGCAGUGGUAGGACAUGGUGGGGGAUAAAGGGAACUAACUCUCUUUAUCUUAUGGUGUUAAAUUAUCUUGUGCUGUUAAACUUUUUUAGUGUGUGCUUGAAUCAAAAACUUCAAAACAGGGACAAUCUGAUCAUUUUCUGAUACUGUCAAAUUAGAUUGUGGCCUCUUAAGCCAUUUCUUACUAAAUUAACAAGAUGAAGUUUAAGAUCAAAUAAACCAAUGAUGUUAUGUUCCACAUAGGAUCGUCCGUGGCAAAGGUGACUGGCCCUAGUCUCAGAAUUUUAGUUACAUAAUGCCAAGACUCUAUGUACAGAUGCCGUUGAUGAAUUGGAAUGAAGACUAAUCAAAGAUUGCAACAAUCCUCAAUAUAAUCUUUAAUUUUUUUUAAAAAAAAAUUAUUCUUACACACCAGAAACUUGUUUGAAUCUCUCCUUUUUUCCUCUAUUAUAGAGAUGUAAGCCACAGGUUGGUUUAUCAUGAACUUGAAAUUUAGUUCAACAGUUAACAAUGUUUGUUGCAGUAAAAAUGCACCACAAAGUUAAAAGGGAUAGUUUCUUAACAGAUGUAUAAUAUUGCGCUGAUUAAGCCACAACAACAAGGACAUCAAAUUUCUACUUCGAUUUUGCAUCAACCACCUAUUAAUUUUGAUGCAUAUUAAUCUUUUCCUUUUAUUCCUGCUUCGAGACCCGCCGUAAAAUAACUUACAAUGUAUCAUUUUACUUUGCAAUUUUACUAUACACGAACUGUUGACCCAAAUUGUGACAAAUUUAUUCAUCCUGUUCUACAAAGAAUAUUUUAUAGAAUUCUAUUUUCUUUUUUUUUCUUUUUUUCUUUUUUUUUUUCCAUCCUGCGGUGUGGCCUCAAACAGGCGGCUGGGGCGGUGUUCCGGUGACGUCCGACCGACAAAGCGGGCACGUCGAAUGCGACGACAACCACUUGUCGAUGCACCUGACAUGGUACAAAUGCUUGCACGCGGGCACCUGCUUAACCAUCUCGCCUCUACUUAUCACACUGAGGCAGAUCGUGCACUGCGCCCAGCCACCGCCUCCGCCGCGGUGAUCCACCGUCCGGUCAUACGCGAAUGUCGGAAGCGCCGCAGCCGCCGAAUCCGAGAGCUGCGGUUGAGCUCUCGGUGGUUCAUAUGGUGGUGCAGCGGCAGUACGUGCUUCACGUCGAAGCCUUCUGCGCCAGCUUGCGACGGCUAAUAAGAUGAGCAGGCAAAGGAGAGUGACGCCGAUGAAGACAGCGAGGGAGCCGACGACGUUGCCGACAUUGGGAACUCUAUGGCCAUAGCUGUUUCCGUUGUACAUGUAAUAUUGUGGUGGGUAGAUCCAUGAAUUCGAGGACAUGGUAACGUGCCGAGAUUGGCGAGAAAAAUUCAGUAGUUCUUAUAUAGGUCCGGCUAUAAUGCUUAUAUAUAUAUAUAUAUAUAUAUAUAUAUAGUAUAAAUAUAUAUAUAUACUAUAUACCUACUAUAUGCUGGGUUGGUCAACUCGGGAACAAUGCAAAGUUUCGUUGUUUAGAUGUUUAAAUGAGAAGCUACUUAAAGCGCGUUUUCAUGGUGUCAAAGUCAAUAGCUUUGUUGAUUUUUUUUAUUAUUGUUUUUAUUUUUAUUUUUUAUUUUUACAACUUUAAUUAUUGAUCAUUGAUCGUUGACAUUGCUCUAGUACUUACCUUGCAAGAUAGCAAUAUUCAUCUGGUUGACAGGUCUAGUCAGAAAAAUAUAAACAAUUGAGAAAAGUAAUAUAUAUUUAGGCUUAAGAUGUUUUUUUUUUUUUUUUUUUUUUUUUUUUUUUUUUUUUUAAGAGAUGGGUAGCAUGCUACUCGCUUUGUUUAUUUCAUUUAGAAAUAAACUUAGCUAGAAAUAUGAAUCAAUUAGGAUUCGAACUUGGGUUACAUGCACCAAUCGUUAUGAUGCUUCAUGUAUUCCAAAAGUAAUAUUUGAAGUAUUUUGGAGCUCAAUGUUUGAAUGCAAAUUGUGACCGAAUCUUUAGUUAGAGAAACAUCGAUCUCUCUAAAAUGUCAAAGCAAUUGCCCAUCUUUGUAAAAUGUCUUUCCAAAUUACUCCGUGGAAAGUUGGAAUGAUUGAAUUUGGUAAACCAAUAGCGAGCUGGUUUUUUCGGUUCCCAUUUUGAACAGAUUCAAACCGACUAAGAAACAAGUUGUCAAUUUCCAGCAUAGUUUUAGUAAUAGUAACGUAAACUAUAUUUUUAGGAAUACACAGCGGAACCCGGAUUUGGCAGUUCUCAUAUUCAAAGAGUUGGUAAAGGAGUGGGAUUUUAUGCUCCCAACCUAAACCCUAAACCCUAAACUUUUUUUUUUUUUUUUUUUUCGGGGCCCGGGUUGCUCCACUCUUGUAGUCUAGUUCAUGUUUCUAAUGAAUGAAACGGGUAGCGUGCUACCUUUCUCUCUAAAAAAAAAAGACAUAAACUAAAUCGGAGUUUUAAAAAACCUUCAAUUAACAGCACAAAUUAAGUCGGUCCCAUAAGAUUCGGCAAUCGGAAUAUUUUUUUUGACAGAAAAUCACGCAGGCAAUAUUUAAUGAAAAGUUUGGAUAUAUACCGACUGUCCCUAGAGUAAGUGGCAAAAGGCUUGGUGGUUGAUACCCAAGGCCCAAGUUCGAAUUCUAGUUGAUUCACAUUUCCAGCUAAAUUUAUUUCUAAAUAAAAUAAACGAAGCGGGUAGCGUGCUACCUAUCUCUUAAAAAAAAAAAGUUUGGAUACAUGGGGAAAAAAGAAAAUAACAUUGAACUUUUCAUUAUGGUCAUUUUUUUUCACUGAAGAAGUUGAAGAAGAACAUGAGGGAAAAUUAUUCUCUUUCUUUCUUUUCUUUUUUUUAUUUUUCCCUCCAUCCAAAACAAAAUAUUAAUUGACGAAUAAAUGGAAAAGUUAGUGAAUAAGAAAUUAGAGAAGAUAAUCAAAUAAUCAAUUAAAAUAGUCCACUUAGUGAAAGGAGGAAGUCGAUACAAUAAGAACUUAUAUAAAACUAUAUACAAGAAAAAGACUACUAUACUAUUAAUAUUAAUAGCACCAAGUCAUUGGUGUUACUAGAUUUUCGGCACUUGGAUGAAGGGAUGUGCGGAUAAAAUAAUAGUAGUCCUCUAGGAUUCAAUAAGUGGUUGGUUGAACAAUAUGAUCUAAUAGAUGAAAAUGAUCAAAGAGAUAGAUUUAAUGGCUGAAAACUUGAUAGCACUAAGCGCUUGACAUUAUUGACAGCAUAGUAGUCCGACACUUAUAUAAACAGUAUAAACUAAAUUAGUCCAUUUCAAUUAACGGGUCUUUUUUUAAAAAAAAAUAAAAAUAAAAAUUUGACCCAAAAAAGCCAAUUUCUUUUCCUUUUUUUUCGAAAAUUUUGGAUUCACGAAUCUAACUGAAUCCAUUUUCUGGAAAACCUUAUUUUGGGUCUGGUUGUCGUACUCAACUAACAUUCUUUUUUUCUUUUUUUCUUUUUUUUUUUGAAGUUCGGGUGAUCAUUCCUACGAAAACUGGUCGUUGCUUUUCAGGGUCACACUUUUAAAAUGAUUCUAAUUAAGUGAUGUUUAUGUUCAAAAAUAAUGGAGUACUCAACAGAACAAAACAGAAAGAAAGAAAGGCAUAUGAAGGAUUUGCAUAGCCAAAACUUCAUACUGCAACUUGGUUAAUUAAAGAGCUGGUCAAUAAGUUUUUAUUAAGAUAGUUUGGAUAGCCAUAUAAUGCAUUCGGUUUUUGAACUUUAAAAAUCUAUUUCAAUUUUAAAUUUUUCUAUCCAAACCUUAGCGCGUCAUAUUUUGAAUAGUGGAUUUAGAGGGAGCUCAAUAAAAUUGCGAAAGUAAAAAUAAUUACCAAAACUUUCCAACAUCAUUGGGAGCCUAAUGUAGAAGGAUCUAAUUGGUUUUAAUUUACCAAAAAUGUCAGUUGAACUAGAUUUGGCAAUAUAUUUCACGUGGAAUGGAAUCUAAGAGCCUGUUUCGAUUCUUCCAAAUUCCAAAUUCCAUAGCAUCUUGAGAAUUUUUACUACUUUUUGAAAAAUAAUAUUUAUAUUUACAAAGAGAUUGACAUUUGGAUACCUUUUUCAGGAUAUCAACAUACAAACAAAAUAGCUCAAACAUUGUAAUUUUAUGGUCAAAAUAAAGAGAGGUUAUGUACCUUUCUAAUUUUUUUUUAAACUAUUGUAACACUAAUAUAUAUUCACAAUAAAUUUCAAUAUUCUAAUAAAGAGCAUAACACAAAUGAUCACCAUUCAUCACUUUCCUUUUGAAAAUAUUUUGUUCGAAGAUAUUGCGAUCUCAAGCGCUUGUUAUUUAUUUAUUCCUCAAAAAGCGUAAUCUCAUAUCUUUCCAAUCCUUCGUUUUCGAAAUGAGAUCAGUGUAUACCAUUUCGAUUCAAAUCUAUACAUUCUAUACUAUCCUUUUUUUUAAUUUUUCUUUGUUUUCCCUUAUUGAAAAUUUCAUCUCUCAUAUGUAUUUUGCUCAUCACUGUCCAUACACAAUAUUUCUAAAACAAAAAACAAAUGAGAUUCGAUGGUAAUAGAAUGAUGACAAAAAUUUUGAAAAAAUUCGCAUUGUAUUAAAUAAUAUAUUGUUUUUUUUUUUUGAAAGAUAUGUACCAUGCUACCUGUUUCGUUUAUUUUAUUUAAAAAUAAAUUUAGCUGAAAAUGUGAAUCAACUACGAUUCGAAUUUGGGACAUCGGGUAUCAAUCACCAAGUCCUUUGCCACUCGCACUAGGGAUGAUCGAUAAAUAAUAAUUUUUAAAAAAUAUAUAUAUGUAUAGACACUACUGCAGCCACCGCAACCGCAGCCACGGCGCACUACACCGGCUACAAAAUUGCAGCGUAACUGCUGCCCGCCGCGGCCUUUGCGGCGACAUUCGCCGCCUCGACGACGACGGUCCGACGGCACACGGGGCACGUCGGGUGCGCGCUCAGCCACCUGUCGACGCACUCGGCGUGAAACGCGUGCCCGCACUCCGGCAGCCGCCGCACCGUCUCUCCUUCCUGCGCCAGACCGAGGCACACCGCGCACUCCCACCCGCUGCCACCGUUGCCGCCGCCGCUGCUGCGGUCGACGUUUCUCUCCAACUUGAACGACGGAAGCGCGGCGAUCGCGCGGCCAUCGAGCCCGCGCCCGACGCCGAGGAGAUCGUCGAUCGACGGGACGGUGGUGUUAGAGUUGCUGCUGCCGCCGCUGCCGCUGCCGCUGCGGCGACUGCAGAGUUUGUGAAGGAGGAAGACGAGAGACAGAAAGACGAUCCAGCAGCCGACGAAGAUGCCGACGACGGCGAACCGCUGGCCGACGUAGCUCGUUUCGCCUCGCCUGAACUUGUCCGGCAGGUUGGAGAAAAGCGACAUAAUUAAUGGCGAUCAACAGUGUUGUGGAAAGAGAAAGGGUGGGUUUAGGAAAAGAGGGGCAAUGGAAAGGCGAAAUGAUCGAAAAGAAAGUAUGCAGUAAACAUGGAAGCGAGGGGCUACGUACGCUGUGGGGUGCGGGCAUUUUUGGUGUGUUCACUUUCCGGAUCCUUAAUUGUCGACAAUUUGGAGGUGAAUCAGCCUGAUAUAAGGAGGGGGAGAACGCCUGUAAUAGGAAAUUAGGCCUAGUGGUUAUAAAGUUUGUUUGGAGAAGUUGGAAGCAUAUAUAUAUAUAUAUAUAUAUAUAUAUAUAUNGAAAAUAAAAAAAUCAUAUGCCUCAUAAUUCAAGCCAGAAAUUGCAACUAAUUAAAAUUUAAGGGCUAAAGUACUGCGUGCCUUAUAGGUUGAGCAAGAAACUGUAAUAUAUGAAAGUUCGAAAACUAUAGUUUCACGGGUCUUAUAGUUUGAAGACCAAAAGCGUAAUUUAUCUUUCUUUAUAUUUUGUUCUUAUUUCAAACAAAGUUAGAGUUAAGUAUUGAUCGUUUUUAUUCAAUUAGUAAUUUCAUAUGAGGAAAAAAAAUAUAUUAAACUAUCGAAUAAAAUUUAGAAUGCCAAAUUGUUAAAAUUAAAAGUCGACCAAUUAUAUUUUGGGUACUUCAAAAAAUUUUAAAUUUAAAAUUAAUUACUCAUCGAACUAUAAAUAUGAUAAUAAAGUUUAAUAUUAAAAUCCAAAUAAACAAAUAUAAAAUAUUUCUAAACUAUAUAUGAACCAUUCUGAAUUAGCUAUCCAACAUUUCAAAAUUUUAUUUUUCAUAUCCAGUUUUUUAUAGGUUAGAUGCGCGACACUUAAUAAUACUUUGACUUCAAAAUUUGAAUGUGUUGAUGAGCUUUAUAGAUUUAGUUAAUACAUUUUGUAUGAUUCUCGCAAUUAAAUUUAUCAAAAUAAAUAAUUAAUUUAAACUCUAUCAAUCUUUUAUUUUCUAUUAUAUAGUUUAUAUCUAAGUUAUCACUGUUAUAAAAUUAAAAUUUAUAUUUAAUACAUACAGUGAAAACUAUUUCCAAAUUAUACAUAAAAAAUUAUAUAUUUUAAAUUUUUAUAAUAAAAAAAUUAAUUUGAAUUAAAGAGAAUAUUUAACUUUGAUGAUACCCUUUCACAGCUUUUUUAUUAUUAUUAUUAUUAUUAUUUAAUAUUUGUUAUUUUGUUCUUUAAUAAAGAGAAGGAUAAAUGAGUUGGUCUGCCAUUUGCCAAAGAUGAACACCCAAACAGUUACGGAAUUUUGUGUGCUGAUAAAUUUUGAAGCACAAAAAAAUUAAAGCGAUAAAGCAGAAUAAUUACUGAAAUCUUUUGUGUUCUGUCAACUCCACACCCCGGCUGUAUUGGGUUUCCCGCCGACUCCGAAUCCACCGCUGGAAGUCUGUAUAGUGUCAUAAUUAAUAUUAAUAUUAAAUCAAAAAAAUAUAUAUGAGCGGGGACUCUAAAUCUAGAAUAUUAUGCCAAAAAAAAAAAUCUAAACAAAAGAUAUAUUAAUAUCAAAUAAAAAGUAAACAAAAACAACGAUGGGAGAAGAAUCAAGAAUCAAACCUUACAUCAAAUCAGCCGGAGGAGGAGGACGCAGGAAAUCGAGGAGUAGAAGAAAAGGCGGGUUUGAGAGAGAGAGAGAGAGAGAAAGAGAGAGAGAGAGAGAGAGAGAGUGUGUGAGUGGGAAGAAGAGUGUGGAAAACUAUGUAUACAAGGUGAGAGGAUUUUUGCUUGUUUGCUUUAUUAUUGUUGGUUCGUUUUAUACACCUUAGAGCUAAAGUAGAUAAUAUUGGAAGCACAUAUAUACACCGUAGAGCUUAAGUAGAUAGUAUUGGAAGCAUAUAUAUACACCGUAGAGCUGAAGUAGAUAGUAUUGGAAGCAUAAAUAUACACCGUAGAGCUAAAAUAGAUAGUUUUGGAAGCAUAUAUAUAUAUAUAUAUAUAUAUAUAUAUAUAGAGUCUGGCUACUAUACUAUCGGUAGCACGAGGGCUCCGUGCUACCAAGUUGUUUUCAAUGAUGCGGCUUCCAAAACGACGAUUGGCUCCGUUAGAUUUGAUCUACACUAUUAAAAGUAUUUGGAAACUAAAUUUUAAAUUUUUUGACAUCAUUUGACUAGUGAUCAAAAGAUCUCAAAUUGACAAUUUUAAUAGCCAAUGUGGUGUGUUUGAGAGUUUAACGGUAUAAAAUAAUUCAAAUCCGAUGAAAAUUUUAUAGAAAAUUAUUUUCACUAUUUAGAAUAAGAUCAGUAUAUCUGAUCUUGAAUUUAAAUCUUUUAUCAUUAUUUUUUAUGAGAUUUUUAUUUUCAACCGUUCAAUUUUAGACUACUUAUUUGAUAGGUAAAUGAUAUCGAAAAAUUAUGAAAUUUAGUUUUCAAAUACUUUCAAUAGUGUAGAUUAAGUCUAACGGAGCCGAUCGUCGAUUUGAAAGCGGCAUCAUCGAAAACAAUUUGGUAGCACGGAGGCGUCCGUGCAACCAAUAGUAUAGCAGCCUAGCUCUCUCUCUCUCUCUCUCUCUCUAUAUAUAUAUAUAUAUAUACACUUCAUUUCUACAUGGCGUAACCAAGGAAGAAAAGUUUGUUGGGGGCAAUUCUCAACACAAGAUUAAUUAUCUUAAAUAGUUUUUUAUUAUUUAUAAAGAAUAAAUUUCACAACUGUAUGAAUCGUGAAUAAGAUGAUCCCAUGUAAGGGACAGUCAGCACCGAAAAAUUGUCUAGUCUAUUAUUUAUCACGCAAACAGCACGAAUUUCAAAACCGCAUGAAUAAUGAAUGAGACGAUCUCACAUAGGGUAUUAUCCUCUGUCACUUUCUUUUUUUCUUCCCCUCGGCGAAAUUCUAAGCCACCGUUUGGUUCGGAAUUAAGUAAAAAUUUGUUAUUUCAGGAAUAAGGUUAAGUUCAGGAUUAAGAAGGGGUUAGAGUAAUUUUGUGUUUGGUUGAGAAUUGGGUUUAAUCUAGAUAUAGAUAAAAUAGUAUUUGGUUGGAGUAGGUGAGAUAAGAAGGAUAGUUGGUAAAAUAGUAUUUUGUUUGGUUAGAGUAGUGGGGUGGGGUAAAAUUAGCUAACCCUACCCAAAUGGGCUAUCCCACCCCCCAAAUUGGAUAUUUGGUAAUAACUUCGGGGUUAACCAAACGGGCGCUAAGAGUACUUAGGAAACAGCCGCGUACUACUGUAAGAUUAAUUGUCUUGUCGUUUGUUUAUCUCACAGACGAUACAAAUCUUAAAGCUUCAUAAAUGAUGGACGGAACGAGCCCACGUAGGGGACCAUUUCUUCUUUCCCAUAUUAAAAUUGUAAAAGUACUUAAGAAUCUACCUAGCGCGGUAAUCUAUUAUAUAGUGUUGUUCGAUAAAAUAUUAGUUAAGAAGCUAGUGCUGAAAGGAGAAACACAAUAAAUUGAGAUUUUUCUGGCCACUUUUCUUUAAAGCAAAAGUGGAACCUCCAAAUUAAAACUUUUUAAGUUUUUCUAUCUCAAAAUUAUAUUUUUAAUUUUUUUCUUCCUGCAGUAGAAACUUCAAAAAAUUUUAUUGUUAAAAACUCUCUAUUAUGUAUAGGUAAAUACAGUAAAACGCACAAACGGCUACAAAAUCAAUCCACAGGGAUCAUACGAUCUUAAGUGGAAAGAGCUUGAGUUGCCACAUUAAUUAAUUAGCUCGCAAAUCCGGCUGUCAAUCUGUGAUGCGUUUAAAGUUUUCAAGCAUCUUCUUGAGCCUGAAAGCUGAGAGCUCUUUACAUAGAUUGAUGGAAUAUCCCUCUGAAAAAGGGUGAAAAAAAAAUAGUGACUUUUUUGAUCGAAUAUUCCAGUUCUUGGUGAAUUUUGGGUAGAGGCUUCCAAAUUAGGAUUCUAAUAUAUAUAUAUAUAUAUAUAUAUAUAUUUACGGCAGAUGCUAAAAUUGAGAAUCAUAAUGAUAAUAAAGAAUAAAGAAAGUUUGGGAUAUUUUUAUCUUUAAAUAUGCGCAAAGAUAGAAUAUUUGGAAUUAUGGUCUAGGAGUGAAGUGUUUUUUUUAAGUGACAAAUAUAGUAUAUUAUUCGCAUUCGUUUAUUUUUUAAAAAAUAUAAAUGAAGCAAAAAAUUUGAAAUAAUUAUAUUUCAAAUUUAAAACCUAGAGUGACAACUAUAAAUUUUUUGCCACGCACCCUAGAAAAUAUAAAGAAUGGGCCCAUGCAAGAAUCAUGAGAAUAUAUACCUGGCUAGGAACCAGCAUUUAUGUGUAAAAUUUUCAUUAAAGUGUCUCAGAAUUUCUAAUUUUGACAAUUUGGUCUCUAAUCUUUUGUGAAUAGUUAUAUGUUUUUACUGAUCAGAAUCAUCCAUUUGAUUGUAAUUAUUUUUAAACUAAACACAUGAAAAAAAAUUAUAUCAUUCUGAUUCUUAUUUUAUAGUUCAAUUUUUCAUUCUGAUUCUUUAUUUUAAACCAAAUGUGUCUAAUUUUUAUUUCUACUUUGGUUUUUUUCCUUUUUUUUGGGGGGGCUUUCUCAGCGCGGCGCCGCCAUCUACUGCCAAGGUUGAGAAUGUCCUGCAGGUUGACACGGCAGCGCACGGCUAUGGGGAAAAAAAAACAGAAAUCGUAUUUAGGAACAAUAUUCUCUCUCUUACAAUUUUUAUUUUUUAAUCUUAAGUUUAUUAUAUAUAAAGAAUCUGUUAUAAUAAUAUGCAGAAAAAGCUAUAGUUCUAUAAACAUCUUAAUUUUUGAAAAUAGUAAAAAAAAAUUGCUGAAUAAUCUGAUUCUUUAAAACUGCUUGAUAAUUCUAAAAAUUUGGAUUCGACAAAUACAUAUCUUUUAAUUUAUCAAAUUUUUGCCAAAAUUUCAAAAUUUUCUAAAAUGCUUAAUUUCUAGCUAUUAUGCACUGAUCAAAACCAAAAUCUUACCAUCCUUCAUUUCAUGAGGAAUCAUUUACACAUACAUUUUAACAAAUAAUAAUAACAAUAAUAAAUAAAAUAGAAAAGAAUAAUGAUUAAAAAGUUAUAAACAAUUUGAAUUACUAUUGCCUCUCUAUAUCCUCCCCUCCAUACUCAUGUUACUCAUCCCUAUGGGUCCUCCUCCCCAUGCACCAACUCCGACCACACCACCUUCUCGACCUCCCCGGGAGUUUCCCUCUCCGUCGAACGCCGACAUGUCGCCGCCAAUGUACAAGCAAUCCAACCGUGCCACCGCGGCCCUCUUCGGCUCCGGGUUGGCCCGACAAACCGGGCACGUCGCAUGCAAGCUCAGCCACACGUCGAUGCACUCCUGGUGGAACAGAUGCAUGCAGCUCGGCAGCAGCCGCACUGUCGCCCCCUCCUCGACCGCGUCGAGACACACCGAGCAGUCGACGACGACGGCCGACGCCUUAUCCCGACCGCCAUCCCCCGACCCCGCCCUGCUGCUGCCGCCGGUGCUGUAAUACGCGAAGGAGGGCAGCGAGGCGAUGGCCGACGGGUCGAGCCCGUCGGCCGGGGGCGGCGGGUCGUCGUCGAGGGCGUCAGCUGCCGCGGCUUGGCGGCAGCGUCGCAGGAGGAUGUAGCAGGCGCAGAGGAAGAGGAUUAGGAGGACGAAGAAGACGGCGAAGACGGUGGCGACGGCGCCGAGGAAGCUGCAGCAGCUGCUGGUGUUUUGGACAUCCGAGGACAUGGUGCAUGAUUAAUUAUGGGAGGUGUUCGACUCGGCCCUUUAAUUAUUAUUAAUUAAAGAUUUGUUGCUAAAAAUAAUAAUUAAGAUAUAUGACUCUUGUGGGGUAGUUAUAUGUUUGUGCCACGUGAUUUAUUAGUUAAAUAGUGACAAGGUGCUUAAUUUGAGGGCAUUGGAGGACACGAAGAUGUAAUUAGACAAAAAUUUGAAGGGGACGAUCUGUGUCGAAAUUAAUUUCUUAUUUAAUUUUUGAGAGGGAUUAAGAUUGCAUGACAGAUGUUGCUGGUCUACUAAUUAAUUAAGCUUUCUUUCCAGGUAGUGAAUUAAUGAGUCCUAACACCGUUGGCUCUGGGGCUCUGUUUGCGGAGGAGAGCCUUAUGUAGGGCUGGCAAAUGAGCGAGCCAGCUCGCGUUCGACUCGAUAUUUGACUCGCUCAAGCUCGACUCGAAAUUAAAUGAGCCGAGCUUGAACAAAAAAAAAGACUCGAAAUUCAUUUCAAGCUGAGCUUAAGUAUUACUCGGCCUUUUGUAAUCGAAUUAGGCUCGAAAGCCGCAAAAUAUAUAUAUAUAUUAUAUAAUUUAUAUAUAUAUAUAUAUAUAUAUAUUAAAAAAUAUAUAAAUAUAUUAUAUUUUAAUUAUAUAUAGGUUGAGUGAAUAGGCUGAGUGAAUAAUCUGAGUUUAAUUAAAAUUGGAUCAAUAUUGUUGACCCAUAAAAACAAACCCAAUAGACAAAUAAAAGAUCAAAAUUUCACUAAAUUUAUACUUUUUUUCUUUCUUUCUUUCUUUCACAGAGCUCUAAAUUUUUAAUAUGUUUCUUUUUUUCUCUUUUUCUAUCUCUCACCCUAAGUGACCAAGCCGGAAGCCCUUCAAAUUACCAAGUAACAACAUAUAUCCGCCAUUGCCUACCUUGCUAUUAAUUGUAUGCUUGAGAAAAUAUACAAAAUAUUUUUAAAGCAAGAAAUUAUUAUUCAUAUAAAAUUUUAAUUUUAGUUAUAUAUGAUUGGAUAGUUUAAUCCAAUAUUUAUCUAUAUAAUUUAUUUAUUUUUGAUUGUAUAAAUGAAAAUGAAUAAUAUAGAGAUUGAAGGCGAAAGAAAAGAUAUGUGAGACGAAAAAGAUUAGAUAUUCAACUCAUAAAUUUUUUUUUUUCAUAUUAUAAUACUAUAUUUCAUAUAAUUAUUUUGUACUUUGAACUAUUUGACAUAUUUUUGUAUCAAAUUAUAGAUAAUGUUCUAUACAAAUUAAACUAUUGAUCGUAUGAUGUUGAGAAUUUCAAGCGGCUCGUUUAGGGCGUCGAGACGCUGCCUGACUCGAAAUUAAGCUCGCUCGAGCUCGGCUCGAAUUAAUUUCAAUCAAGCUUGAGCUUAAAUUUAGCUCGAAAUUAAUUUCAAGCCGAAUCUGAGCGAGAUAAGCUCGCUCAGCUCGCGGCUCGUUUCCACCCCUAGCCUUAUGUAUGGUAACAAGAAAAAAAAUUUAGAUAAAUCACAAUUAUUUAUAUUUAUAUAUAUCACGUUAUAAUGAGACAUGCUACGAGAUAUAUAUAUCAUAAAUAUAUUAUAUUUAUUAUAUAUAUAUUAUAUAUAUAUAUAUAUAUAUUAUAAUUUUAUCGGAUAAAUGAAAAAGAAAGAUAUUCAUAUAUAUUUUCGUCCCAACUUUAUUUUAUUUAUUAGUGUGGGUACAUGAAUCGUGCAUAAAUUAAAAAUAAAAAAAAAUCUUUCAAGUUGCUUUGGCAAAUACUUCCGAACAAGAAAAAUAUACUGGCUCUGAAUCUCCAACAUUAUAAAAUAUAUAUGAUGUUAAAAUUAGUUCUAAAUCUCCAACAUUCUAAAAAAUUUUGAAUUAAUUUUUGCACACAUUUUUUUAUUAUAUAUUUACAAUCAGUACAUGUGACAUGAUUUAUCUGAUAUCCACCGUUGCGCGAAAAAUGUUAAGAGAAACAUUUCCUGCUAAAUUGAUUUUUUGAAUAGCAACAAAAGUAUUCUGCACUAUGAAGUUAAUGUGAGGGGAUUGUGAGAGUCUCUAGCUUUUAUUAUUAUUCGACAGUGCAAAAAGUCCAUAACAAUAAAUACCUCAGAAAUCCAUGACAAUAUUCAAGCUUAAGAGUUAUUGAAUAUUUGAAUAAACAAAAUAUAAAAGCACCUUAAGCCUUUGAAGGAUAAUAGUUAUUUCAAAUGAUAUUAGCAUAAAAAAUUAUAAAUUUGAAUUCUACAAGUCUUAUAAUUUGAAAUAGAGUGUUGAAUAAAAAAACAUACAAAUAUUUUUUCUUUUAAUUACGAGAGUAUUUUUGUCAUGCAGCAACAUGCAUAAGGUUCCUGUACUGCUGCACAUUAUAAUUAAGUUGCAAAGAAUUUGCUCCUUGGGACAAAUAUUCAGUAUGAAGCUUCUAGUGCAUUUUAUGUACAUUUUAAUAUUUGUAUGCGUCUGAUGCAAACAUUUAGUAUAUUAUUCAAUGAAAAAAUUUCGUGUCCUUAAACAAAUCUGGGCUUUAUUAAACAAUAUUUCAGGAGGAAGAGUGGACAUAGAAAAGACUUAGCGACUAAUAUUUAUGUGUUUAAUUAGUUUUUCUAUGUCCGAAUCCAUAUUCAUUUUUCACUAAUCAAGUUACAUUUAAUUACUUUCUGUCCCUAUUAAUAUUUAAUUUCAGAAAAAUAAAUAGAUUAGCUACAGUGCACACUUAGCCCAACCAUUUUACACCCCUUUUCAUUGGGCCCAUUAUGGUAACCAAGUUGAUGAAUUGGGCCAUGGAAGCCCAUAUGAGGGUUGAUGGGCUAGGUCCCCUUUUGACCCAUCUUUUUACGCCGCCUAUUGCUGCUAAAAACAAGGUAUUUUGAAGCGCAUGCAAUUAUAAAUACUGUAUAAUUAUAGAUUAUAGAUGUACACAAUUGAAUAUGAAGUUACUGUAUAGUUAUAGAUGUACACAGUUGGACGCACUUUUACGGCGUUGCUCAAAAAGAAAGUUGUAUUAUCUAAGAGAUUUCAAGAUAGGAGGAAACAAACAAACAAACAAACAAACAUGACCGAUGAUCAUCCAAAUCAUCAUUAGCAGAUCCCCUAUAAGGCAAAAUAAGCACACGCUUAGUUGGCCAACUUGAACGAUCUCAAAACGCCACCUCCCCAGUCCCAGACCCCCAACAACUACUAGUGAGAUAAGGACGAGAAACCCAAUCAAUCAGCAUCAGGUGCAUAUAAAAUCUCUCCGCGAUUAGUUCUCCCGUCGCUGUACGCACUGUUGGCCCGAAGAAUAACCCCCGCAACUACUAGGGAUGCAAACGGGACGGAUCCGAAGGCGAGAGAGUUUUCCCACCUCCCGCUCCAUUUCUUAUCUAGGCAGGACGGAUUCGGGGCCGGUUACUUUUCAUUUUAUUUUUGGCUCCCACUUACCGCUCCAUUCGGGGCGGGAGCAGGGCGGGAGCGGAUUUUUAACGGAUCGUGGUAGAUUAAAGGAAGAAAAGAGUCUCCUGCCUCCCGCUCCAUUUACUUGGCGGAUCGGGACGAAUUCGGGGCGGGCCAUAUUUUUCUAUAUAUUUUGUUUCCACUUACCACCCCAUUCGGGACGGAUCGGGGCGGAGCUCCACCAACCCGGAUCCAUUUGCAUCCCUAGCAACUACCUGUCCCCGCAAUCAUUAGACCUUCGAUCGUCGGUUGUGGCCCAUUUUUUGAUUUUUCUUUUUAUGUUCUUAAUAUUUAUAUUCAAAUUUUUUUUUUUUUAAUAUCUGGACGAAAAAAAAAUGGAGACAUGAGAUUAAAUUAAAUAAUUCUAGGAAUUUAAAUUACUUAAUAUCUAUGUUGGACAUCCCACCAUUCGAUUCUUUUGGGGACUUGUUUUAGAGAGUACUACGCGUCUUUCACGUACACACAGGGAAAAAAAAAAAAAGAAAAAAAUUGUUUGAUGUAAAAAAAAUAUUAGACUCGAAAACAUGCUAUUGGAGUUAGUGCUAAAUUUUUUUUUGUUUGAAGAGAUUGAGUUUAAUUUUUUUUUUUUUUGUUACUCCACGCGGUAUGACUCAUCAAAUUUGUACGAUACAUAUAAAUGAAAGUAUUGAAACUAUUUAUUUAUAUAGUACUUUUUAUCUGAUAAAUUCGCUCACCAAUUUUUCUAUAGUCAAAUUAGAAGUGUCAAGUUAUAUUUGUUUUUUUUUAUAGAAUAGGUAGCACGCUAUCUGCUUCAUUUAUUGAAUGGAUGAAUUAGACUACAGGGGUGAGGCAAUCAAUUAAGACCUCAAGAAAAGAACCGCAACGGACGAAACAUGGCAAAAAAAAAAAAAACGAUCACAAAAGAUCUUUCCAAUAAGAAAUCAGCAGCUCGAGUUUUUGAACGAUUAUAUUUAUUAGGGAGAAAACACUAGAGCUUAAUUUUAGUUUAUAAAAUACGUUACCAAAAUAGUUAUAGUCGGCGAAAGAAUAAAAGCAGGGUCAUACAGACACCAAAUGCGUAAAAUCUUUUUGACUUAUAAGGCAUAGAAUUACGCUCUCAUAUCAUAUUAUGGAGAUAUUAAUCUAAUAACAAAUAAUUCAGAGAUAAUCUUAAGAGAGAGCGCAAACUAGUCCCAAAGGGAAAGAGAUGAUUAAAGCAUGCGGAGGGGCACGUGGAGAAGGUACUGAAGCUGGGCCAUGGCACAGAAGCUAUUUAGGCCAAGGUGCACCUUUCUCUUUUUUUUUUUCUUUCCUACUUUCCCUCACUUCAGUAAUCUACGUUGCUUCAUCUGGGUGGCUUAACUUUCCUGCUACACUGACCCUUCCUCUUCUGAAAGCCACUACAUAUCUCACCCACCACAACAACUUUACUACCUCAUCCUUCGCGUUGGUUUUUGUUGCUCUCUCUCUCUCUCUCUCUCUCUCUCUCUCUCUCUCUCUCUCUUCUGUAUCUGGUGAGUUUAUGCAAACAUGUUGCUUUUGUUUGUUUGUGUGAUAGGUUCUUGCUCAUGGACCUUUUUGGUGUUUCAAUAAGAGGCAUGGAAAAUUUUGGUUUUUUUUAUUUUUAUUUUGGCAUGUAGCUCAUCUCAUCACUUGUGCAGUGUGCUGAUGUGUUUGAUUGAUAAAAAGUUGGUGGAUUUAUGGUACAGUUUCACCAUUCAAUUUUCUUCAAUUUUUAUCUUUUAUUCUUCAUUUUGAUAGUUUAGGAUCAUACUUUGUAGAUUGUGUUCUAGAUCAUUGAUAUUUUGGUGGCUAGUUCAUUAAGAAAAAGGAGACUAAUUAAUACAUGUAUUAUUUCUUUGGUAAAGUAUGUUCUGACUCUUAGGGACUCCUUAUAUAUUGGCAACUUCUGAUCUGAUCGACCGUACCUAGCGCAGUUGGCUAAGAACUUGACACUUGGUGUCAGAGAUCCCCCGUUCGAAAUCUAGUUGCUCCAUACUCCUUGCUGAGUUCAUUUCUAAAUAAUGAAUGAAGCGGUUUGCGUUGUAAAACUUUCUCUCUCUCUCAAAAGAAAAGACUCUGAAAAAUUAUAAUUUAAGCAGAGAUUUUCCCUUGUAUAUAAGAUAGUUUGUCUUUUUGAGGAUAAUUUGGACUAGAAUUUUUGUUAUUCUUUUGUUAGAAACCAGUUUAUCUGAUUGAGGACAAUUUUGAUAGGAAGGAUUUGUUUAUGGUUUGGUAUUUAACAGCAGAAAAAGCUGUUAUUUCUCAAGUUUAUAUGCUUGUGAAUCCAUAAUCACCUGAGAUUGUUGGUUUACUUACUAGCAUACAUACCUUUCACUAAUCACUCCUUGCUGUUCCUCUGAAUACAAUAGUAACAUGGCUAAAUGACUUAAUAGUGAUCAAUUUGGUUAAUUAUUUCCUUUUUCCUUUAAUCUAUUUUUGGACAAUUGCGCGCCUUUUUGCAGAAAUUACUUUGAUGUCUGAAUUUCAUUCCAACUAGAGAAAUGGGUUCCGGAGACUGGUUUAGGACGAUUGUCAGAAAGAAGAAAACAAAGCUACUGAAGGUAACUCCAUUCUCUUACUCAGUCGUUUAACCUCAUCUUGUGUCUUGUGCUCUUACUUUAUCCGUUGGAAAGACGACUAAGCUUGAGCAAGAUUCAGGCUAGUAGAAUAUCAUCUUGCGACAACAUGUUCGUAUGAUUUCAUUCAUAUCAGGAAGAGCCAUUGAUUGCUUAUGCACUUUGACUUCCACUGAACUCUUAUUGAUUUUCGAUAGUUGAUGAUAAUACCUCGGGAGAGGUAAUGCGAUGAGUUUCAAAAGAUUAUGGCAUUCAUGUUAAGUAUAUUAAUUUCAAUUAGUAAUCUGUAUCAAGGUGCAGUUGGCAAUUUGAAAACUAGUGGUGGAUGAAAUUAUUACAUCCCUGUAGGAUGAUGUUCUUUGACUUGUGACACAUGCUAAUGACCUUAUUUUGAUAGAGGAAUCAUAUGCUGAACAAUCAGAGAUAAGUUUGAAAAGUAAAACCAAAUAUAUGGAGUUGGUUGGAUAUGAAUUGGAGGAGGGCGAUUAAGGUUCGAUUAAAAUUGAUCGGCAAGAUAUGCCUAAAUAGAAAUUCUGAAUUUUGAGUAAUUAGCCACAAUUAAAGAAAUAUUGAAUAGAAUUCGAAAGUAAGAAAUAAUCCUAAAUGCAUAUGUUUUCGACUGCUGCUCUGUGAUAAGAAAUCGGAAUGAGGCUUAGUAAUCUUUUAAAAUGAAAAGGGCUAGAAAAAAAAAGUUAUCGAUCGACCGCUUAUUCUGUGAUAGGAAAUUGGACCGCCGAGGCAGUUGCAUGAUAUGUUUUCUCUAUUUCAUCACUCGGAUCUCGUAUUGUUUCUUAUGAAGUCACUCUGUUUAACAACUCACCAUAUGCGUAUAUGACAGGGAUCUGCUAGUCAACAAUCUAAUGGAUUCAAGCAGCGAAACCAAGCAAAUAAAAAAUUCAGCAAACUGCUUAUUGCUGCUUGCAACGGAAACGACUCUGGCAUAACCAUUGAAGACUUAGCAGCCACUCAAAUUCAAACUGCAUUUCGACGCUACAGGGUAUGUAAAAGAGAGUAUAAUUUUGUGCCCUAACUAGUUUACUACCCCUUAACAUUUUCCUUUAGAAGUAGUUUAUUUAGGCUAAGUUUCUUAUGAUGUAUACUCGUGACUCACUUUCCCCGUAUGCCUAAUCAGCUAUAUCUAUUGCGACAUCUCUAUAAAAUAUGCGACAUAAAUACUCAAACUAAGAAUGCUAGCUUUCAUGAAUAGAUUUGGGAUUCUUUUUCCUAGCGGUUGUUGGGAGUAAAGUUAUGUCUUACUGUUUUAUUCCUUAGUCAUGCAUUUAUAUGCCUAACAUUCUCCAACUUUCUAUGAAAGCCUCGGAUAUGCGAACUCUUUAGUAUUUUAGAUCGGCAUGUUGAAUAUAUAAUAAUAAAGCAUUUUUCUAGCAGCUUAAGCUUUCUGAGAAAACGGGUAGAACCAGUUUUAGCUUUUAGAGAAAAACAAGUAUUUCGCAUGGUAUUAGAUUACGAGAUCCUGUAUUCAAGUGUUUCUAGGCUCUUAGUUUUGUUUAGUUUCCUAAUCAAAUGCCCUCUUAUUUAAUUAAAGUUCAUUCCUUCGAGCUUAGACAUAACAAGAAAGCUUAGUGUUUUACAUAAAACACUAAAGCAUUUUUGUCUCGCAGUGUAAGCUUUUAGAGAAAACGGUUAUAUCACGCAACCUACCGAAGUUUUUCAGGUGAUUCGGCUAAGUAGUGGUUUAUGCACCGUCUUUGUAGGCAAGGAAGACUCUCCGAUGUUUGAAGGGGAUGAAACGAUUAAAUGUCCUCGCCAACGGUCAUCCAGUUAAGAAGCAGGCGUCCACCACGCUGAGCUAUAUUCAAUCCUGGAGCAGAAUACAAGCAGAAAUUAGAGAUCGCCGUGCCUCUAUGGUGACAGAAGUCCGCAGCAGGCAAAAGAGGCAGGAAAAUCAGAUGAAACUAGAGGCUAAGCUCCAUGACUUGGAGGUGAGGAAUAUCACAAACAUAAAUUGUCUCGAUUGUCUUUCGAAUUCUCAGUGAUUUUAACUGUUGUUAGAAGGUGAAAUUGUUUUCUACAAGGUUACCGUGCAUAGGUGAUAUUACAGGUGGUGUUUAUGCCGCUGCGAUGAAUCCUUGUGGUUUUUACUAAUAAUAGAUGUGCUAAAACACUGGCUUUUCUGAUUUCAUUUAUUUUCUUCUAGGUUGCAUUUAGCAAUGUAACUUAAUCUAACAAAUGCAAGGAUUUUAUGCUGCAGAUUCUGAUUCUGUUUAUCACCUUGGUUGUCCACAUCUAUGUUCCCUUGUCACCCUCUUGCAUAAAAAUAAUAAUAGUAAUAGUAAUCAAAACAAAAGGUCGCAGCAGAAAAAUUUGGGACUUUUGAAUCUACUCUUAAGUUUUCUAUGGAUUCUGGAUUUUAUUCGUGUGUGUUCCGACAGGUCGAGUGGUGUGGAGGCCCCGAAUCCAUCGAGGAGAUAAUUGCGAGGAUACAACUAAGGGAAGAAGCUGCAGUGAAGCGUGAAAGGGCAAUGGCAUAUGCAUUUUCUCAUCAGGUCUGUUAUUGAAACCACGCCACUACAUGUUCAAGUUCAUGAAUUUCUACAGGUGUUGAAUUAUUAAACAAAAAUGAUUUGACUUUAUCAAAUGGUUAAUUUGUAAGGGUGUUGAAUUGUUAAAUAGUUAUAGCUAAUUCAUGGUUUCUUGUAAAUAUUUUGUCAACAAUCACAUACUGUCGAAUAGUGCGGAGAUGAAAUGAGAAUGUUGUGACUAUGCAUGGGACUCAUGUAACAUUUUCCUUGCAGUGGCGAGCCAACUCGGGCAUCGGUCUAGGGCCGUUCUUCUAUGAAGUUGGGAAAGGUAACUGGGGGUGGAGCUGGAUCGAGCGGUGGACGGCCGCCCGGCCAUGGGAGCCCCGGAUUCCGGCACUCUCCACGAGCCCAAAAAAUGCGCCGACAAAGACACCAAGCAAAGUUAGUAAGAGCACAAACCAGGCACUUCCAAAAGCUCUUUGUCAAGUUAAACCUACCCUUGCCGACGCAAAGAGCUCGACAAAGAGAUCAUCUCUAUCAAACGAAGAGAAAGCUGUCGCCCGAGAGCCGAAAACAAAUUCAAUCAGCUCUUCCCAGCAGAAACCGAAGAAUCAAAAGGCGAAAGAACAGAAGAUUUCCUCUCAAACUGGGUAAACACGAUAAACGAAUCCUUCAUGAUAAGUAAUGAAUGAUUGUUUGAUGUUAUGUUCAUUGUUUUUUUUUUCUACUCUUUUACCAUCUGAUUGCAACAAUAAAAAGGUUUUCUUUUCGUUUUAUGUAAAAUUCGUUGGAUGUAUAUACACAACAUGUGCCUUCAUGUGAAAGCGGCAAUUCAGAGUGGCUAGGCAACAUGUUACUUGUAAUAAGACUAGCAUUUGUCUUCCUGGAUGAUUGCGACGGAUAACGCCGAUUGGUUGGCCCAUGGAUCUAUGCUACUGUCCAUUUGUUAUCUGCCUAAACAGAUCUUCAGCGCUUCAGUAGUGUUUGGCCCUUUCUGCAAUGAUAUGGACUUGUUGGAGGGUGGAGUAUUUAAUUUAACAGAAUUUUGAUAGAUCUCUCUAGAUAUAUCUGUUUCUGUAAAUGCUGCAGGUUGGUCAAAAGGAGAUCUAAUUCAAAUUGCACCGCGGUAAUAAUUAGGCAUCUAGCAUGUGGCCCUUUAUCUAAUGAAACAACUUUAUAUAUGUACCAACUAAAAUUUAAUGUACCAUCUGAAACAUGGCAAAUUAUACAAAAUAUGGUCACCUAGUACGAAAAUUGAAGAUACUGUGACAAUCUCCUGAAGAACCUUAUAGAGUAAAUUUCAUCAGCACUAAUUCUUCGAUGCAAAAAUAGAAUUUUGUUGUCUUUGUCUGGCAAUGUAAAUCUUCGAUCAAUUACUAAGCUAAAAGCAAAUAAUGCCAAUUGAGUGUUUUCAAAGCAUUAUUACAAGUCAUCAUUUUGUUUCACUUUAUUUACCUAUUUCCUGUCGAUGAAUUGAUCUGCUCAGUGUACUUCGAGACUCAUUAACAUCAGAAAAUCUCAUCAAAUGCAAAUUGCAAAGAGUAAUCAUGCACAAAUUUGUGCCGGAAACUUACAAUCUAGAAUGCAUGGCUUGCGAACAUAUCCUGCAUAUAUUUAUCUGGUGAAUUAAUGUAAUACUGGGCUUCAUUCUUUUCUUUUUUUGAAUAAACUUAGCUUGAAAUCUGAAGUAAAUAGGCUUCGAACUUGAAACCUCGGGUGUCAACUAUCGGGUUCUUUGUCACUUGCGCUAAAGACAGUAGGUGUGAUAAUGGUUGUUGUGUGCAAUCCGUAGCAUGUACAGGGACCGUGCUGAAAUUGCGGAUGCAAUAAAUGAAUGGACUUGGAAGUAAGUAACUUGUUUGGGUUUUAAAGGGCCACAUAUUAACUACAUAGCCUCUUUCCCUUAAAUUCACCGGACAAGAAGCUGACAAUAGCGACAGACACUUCAAAUUGAAUAGAAAGUAGUUGGUUUGCCUUGGCUAGAACUUGAUAUAAAAAAAAUUCUCUUAGAAAACAUAAACAACUUCUUUAAAAAUCUGUUCUAUGACUCCUCGACGUAAUAAUUGGAACUUCGCAUACUAUUUCAGCUUCGUCAUUAGCUGCCAAACGCCUGACUGUUGUUUUUCAAAAUAGACAAACUAUCCUCGGAAUAUUUGGCGCAUGCUUCCAAAAGCUAUUCCAAAAACGCGUUGGCUUCCUAUCUGGGGUGAUUUUGGCAAAAAAAAAAAAAAAAAAAAAAAAAAUUGACGGUUCUCUUUGGAACAGCUUUACUUAAACAUCACUUCAGUGAAUUCUUUCUUCAUAGGAGUUUUGUUUUUGAAAACCAUAAGAAUUCUCACGGAUGAAAAAAGUUUGCAAAAAAGGCGUAAACUUGAUAGACCUUUGAUGGAAAACAAAGGGGAGAAGAGUAAAUGCCAAGGCUUGAUGAUGGCUCCCAGAAGCAAAACUCACAAGUAGCUUCCUCCAACAAAAGAACAGCCUAAAAGAGCAUGCAUAGUACAGACAAGAGAAAGCAAGUGGAGGCCAACCAGGGAGGCAAAAUAUGCAGUCAUUGGCAUCUACCAUCUGGCAUAAUGCUAUCGAACCCACACAAAGUGGAGGGUAUUGUAAAAAGGCAAAGGUAAAAUAGUGAGAGGAAGGGUCCUUGUAAUCAAGUAAAUGUUACCAACUUUUGUUCUUUGUUUGCAAUAUGUUCUCUUCCUUUGCUUGUUAGAUGGGAAGCUUUUCUUGUGAGCAAUUGAAUGAGGGGAAAUUAUAAAAGUGGCUGACAAAUUGGACAAUGAAAGCCCCCCACUGCAUAUGGGAUGGGAAUGUGAAGCCAUGAAAGUGAAUGUUGAGUGCAGCUCUUUUGGUUGUUUGGGGAAGUUGCUGAGAGCAUCAGUUGUGUCAUAGCACAAAGCAAAAUAAAGAAUACAAAAAUAAAUCCAUAAUAUAACCAAGGAACAGGGGAAAAAGGCCAUCCAUUUCCAAUCAAAGCAAAAGUCUCUCCAUCAACUCAUCAGCAUCAAAAAACAUCAUCUUCACCUCCAAGUCACAAAAUAAAGCAGUUACUCUCACUGCUCACUCUUUCUUGAAACACUUAUUAUUCUAGUACCAGAAUCCAGAGACUUCCCAUAGCCAAAAUGGAAAACACUAAAACAGGACUACAACACAAAGCAACUUCAACUACUAACACUAGUGCUAAAAUAGCAAACUGAGACUAAGCACAUAAAUAGAAGCAAAAGGCUCAUAAGAAGCCCUUUUGAAACAAAACCAAAGAUAAGAGAGGAGAGAUCAACCAACCAACCAACCAACCAACCAAUGCUUGAUGGAUUUUAGUCCUACAAGAAAAGGCGGCACAAUUCAGAGGAAAGAAUAAAAGGGGGGGAGAGGAGGAAGAAGAAGAAACUUUGAAGAGAAAUGUGAGAAUUACCAAUGGAGGUGGGGGUUUAAGUGGUGGCAGAGUCUCUAUCAUCCUCUCCAAUUCAAUGGUGGGAAACAGAGGAGGCAGAGGGCGGCUUGUCGCCGUCGUGCUCCUCCUCGCCCUGUAUACGAGCCGGGAUGCGGAAGCCCGAGAAUCCGGCCCCCGACGCGAACCCGAAUGCCGGGACCGAGGGAUUGAGCCCAAGGCCUUGGUGCAUCCGGUGGUGGUGUUCGGCGGCGGCGGCGGUGGAGGCUUCGGCGGGCUCCGCGGCCCACGCCCGGAACGAGGGCGAGUUACUGGACUGAAGGGGUCCCCUCUGAAUAAAAAACUGGUUUUGGCCGAGCACCACCGACGGGUGCAUCGGCGGCGGCGGCGGUUGCGGCGGCGGGGGCGGGGGCAUGUUGAAGGCGCUCGGCUCCGCCACGUUCCAGCAAUGCACCAGUCGCUGAUGGGGCUCGGACCACACGGCCGAGCCCGGGUCGAACGCGGCGGCCAAGUUGGCUGAGAAGAGGGCUUGGUGGUGGGCGGCAGCGGAGGGGGCGGUGGGGGGCUGGGCGCUGUGGGGGUUGGGAAAAAUGGGAUCUUGGAACGAUUGCAGCGAUAGGCGGAGGUCCUGGCUCUGGCCGUGGUAGCUGUGGAAGCCGAUGGAAGGCGCCGAUGCCGCCGCGGUGGCGGAGGCCCCAGCGCCCAUGGGGAAGAAGGACUUGAUGGUGUCGGCGAUGGCAUCGGAGUCCAACGAAGGCGGGAGGAAGCUGGUACUACUGCUUCCGCCGCCGAUGCCGCCGUUACCGCCGCCGCCGCGGGCGCCGCUAUCGCCGAAGUCGAAUGGGGGAGAAUUGUCGGCGAUGGGGCGCUUUCCGGCGUCGCCGAAUUGGUGUUCGGCGGAAUGCCGCAGAGAGUCCGGGGGAGCGGACGAGGCGGGGUGCCAGGCGGGGAGCUCGGCGAGCUUGUCGAUGGCGUCCUUGGCAUUCUUGAUGAGCCAGUCGACGGCCUUGCUGGGCCGGUCGUAGCCAAGGCGGUCCUGGACGUCGUAGAAUUGGAUGGCGGUGUGCGCCGAGAGCCGCACCCGGCGGUCCCGGGGCCCCUUGGCCGUGCACACCUUGCUGUGCCGGUCCUUGCGCCCCGUCGACCGCACAAUGUGGCCCCCCUGCACCUCCACUAUCUCCCCUCCUCCGCCCCCGAUGCUGCUGCUGCGCCUGCUGCUCCUGCUGCUGUCCGAACACCACCAGCUGCUGCUGCUGCUGCUGCUGCUGCUGCUGAAACUGAAGCUGAUGAUAGUACCCAUGCGCAUCCCCUGCCCGCUCGGCAAGAAUGCUGUAAUCCGAAGAGAAAGCCGUGGCUGCGGUGGCGGCAGACGACGAAGGCGCGCUGAUCGAGCGAAAAUAAGACCGCCGCCUCGACGCCUGCGACGCUGCCUGCUCCUCCUCCUCCUCCUCCUGCUGCUGCUCUUGCUCUUGCUCUUGCUGCCGCUGGUACUGCAGGUUCUGCUGCGGCUCCUCCUCCUUGGGUUCGUCGGCGUCGUCGCUUUCGUGAUCUCUUUCGCUUUCUCUUGGGUUUGGAAUUGGGUGGUAGUGCGCCCUUCUCGGAUCCAGAUCCUUCUCCCCCCUCUUCCCCUCCUCCUCCUCCUCCUCCUCCUCCUCCUCCUCCAGAUUCCAGAAACNCCCCUGUCCUCACUCCUCCUCACAACCCCGGCCUAACAAAAGAAAACCAACCUCAGCGUUUUAGAACCAAAAAGAGAAACGGAGUAAAUAGUUAACAAACAAAUUUUAAAAAAAGAAAGAAAAAAAGAUUAAAGAUUAAAAGAAUAAAAUAAAGUUUCAAAAAAGAAGGGAACUAAGAAAAGAAGAGGCUACAAACUAUAGGCAUACUACUACUACUACUACUAACUGUUACUACUAACUGUUACUACUCAAUACUUGCCUUUUAACACUUGAAUCCAGUGAGUUGGCUCAAUUGGAAAGAUGGGGUCUUUCUCUUUUCUUUUCUCUUAUUUUUUUCCUUCCUUGAUCUCUUUCUUUUUUUUUUCUUAAACUCACUCGGGGCUACAAGCCCAGAAACCAAGUGGCCAUUUUUCCUAUCACAUUUUGGCAAAGGGAGAGUUUGAAGCAAAAGGUGUGGGAGCAGAGGCGGAGCAAGAAGACACAGUGGGAGAAGAGAUUUGGUUUUUAGUGGUUAGAGAGAGAGAGAGAGAGAGUGCGUAUGUGUAUGCGUGUGUGUGUGUUUGUGUAAGUGUGUUUAUUUCUGUGGACCGGGCCUAUCGAAGCCAUAAAGGAAGAGAGAGGAGACAAGCGUCAGAGAUUAAAGAUCCUGAUGAUAUAUAAUCCAAUCGGCCCUCUCCCAUCUCCUAAAGGGAGACUAUAAACUAUUUCUUGCACCUGGCGUAUAAGUACAUCUCAUACACCACACUCGUGAAAUCGUACUACACGGUUCUCGACGUCUGAAUCCAUCUUAAUAGCAUUCCAAAGACUUUUAUAUUAAAAAUUAUACAAAAAGUUUGAAUUUUGAUGUGUUAAUAAGUUGAACAACAGUCCCUCUAAAGAGUUAAUUUUUAGAAUUAUUUAAUCCCUCGGUGAUGCCCUUUGUAUAUAAACCUUUCAUAUAUUAUAAAUCAUCAUAUUUAUUAGAUUAGGUUUUAGUUUUAUAUUAGCUGAGACGUAUGGCACCUAUAAAUAUGCUCGGUGCGGAGCAAAAUAAUGCGUCCUAAAAAAACCUUAAAUAAAGAACACCCACUUUGUGGAAUUUCGUUUAGAGUAUUGAGAUCGAUUUACCAACCAAACAUAACUAGUUGGCUAGGAACUUGAUAAACUAGUAUUCGAGAUUCCAAAUUUAAAAACUUAUUAUUCUAUAUUUCUAGCUGAGUUUUUUAUAUAGAAAUGAAUAAAAUGAAUAUAUAGUUUGCUACCAUUCUCUAAGAAAAACAGUAAAGUAUUGAACAGCUUUGGACGAAAAAAUUUUAUAUUAUAAUAAAACUUUUAGAUUCGAAUGCGAGUUAAAUCGCUCUAUUUAUAUAUCAAACCAAACUAUCUCAUCC